AACGCAGGGGUAAAACGGUCACUUUUGCUCCAAGCACCUCUUUUGAUUUUCUACCAACAAUACAACAUUAAUCCACUAAUUUAAGCUCUAAACCACCAUAAAUUUCAUCAUCAAUCAUUAGAUCAGUCCUUCCAUCAAAAGUGGGAGUUCAUAGAGCCCACACAACAAAAAUCCACCAUAAACAAGACUACCCACAUUCAUACAAGAGUUUAUACGUGAAAUUCUACUUCCAUAAACCAAGAUUUCAAGGUUUGAUCAUCACUUACGUUUGUUGAUGAGCUAAGCAGAAAUUUCGGUCCUUCCCUUGGCCAAGAAAACUGUGGUUUGCAGCUCUCCUUUGUAGCUUAAUAUGAUCUCCAAGUAUUAAGCUAAGUGUAGUUCAAUUUUGGUAGGAUUUGGUGAAGGUUUGUGCAAGAUUUGGAGAUAAAAAUUUGAGAAACUUUGAGUUGUUUUUGCAGCUGAUGGUUCGGCUGUCUUAGUGAGGAGGAGAGAGAGUGUUUUGGUCUAAAUUUGGCUUCCUAAGGAAGCUUCAUUUGUAUGGCUAAGAAUGGUGCAGAAGUCAAUUCUCCCUCGCGCGCGCACGCGUGCGUUUCGUGCUCAAUUCCUCUUGCAUUUGUUUCACUAGUGCACUAAACCUCUUAUGCGCUUGUAUUCAUAUUAAUAUUAUUCACUCUUAAUUGUCCCAAAAUAAGGGUCUAAAGUCCCUCAAUUAAAUCGCGCGUGUGAAAACGCGUAUCUCCAAUUUAGGCGCGAUAAAAUGAAACCUCCAAGAAUUUCUUAUAACGAUAGUACUAAUAACUAUCACUUGAGUACUUAAACAUAAAAUUACCUAUUUUAGGACCAUUGUACAAGUCCCCAAUUUUUCAAAUUUAUUGUACCCUCAAUCGGUUAAAAUUUCCAAACACGUUUUCACUAUUUUCAUUAAACGAGCUUCUAAAAUUAAUUUUUGAAACAAGUCACUUUAAAAAUAUAAUGAAACUAUAAUUCCAUGUUUUUAGGUCUAAUAAGGAUAGAAAAUAAUAUUCGGGGCAAAUAUCCAAAUAAAUAAUUAAAUGAACCAAAAAUAGGGUUUUAAAAAUAAGAAUUUUUAUGAGUUCUCACAUGAGUCUAGUAUUAAUUUCUCAAUUAAUCUUUCUUAAUCUACUAUUGAUCAUUCUUAAUUCUCCAAUAUUGAUACACUCCCGAUCCAAGUGUAGUCUCGAAAACGUGCACUCGUUAUUCCGAACUAAAGGAAUUUUCAAAAGUAGAUUUUCCAACAAAACGCUUUAAAACUAUAAAAGAGACGUUGUUCCAUACAAAUGGAUUUAAAAUGGUCGAAAAUAAAUAAUUCGGAGAAAAUGAGUGAAUAAUUAUUUAAAUAACCCAGUAAUAUUCUAUAAAAAUAAGAAAAUUUUCAGGUCCUCACGGGGCUUGAUUUCUACAGGAUUUGUAAGGACUGGAGAACAAUUGGGAGAUCUCUUUACGAAGGCUCUACAUGGGGUUCGAGUUGAUUACCUUUGUAACAAGUUUGGGCAUGAGCAACAUCUAUACUCCAACUUGAGGGGGAGUGUUGAAAAUAUGUGAUCUGAUAUUAUGGAAAGAUAUGAUUAUAGUAUCAUGUAUUAAUUAGGUAUCAUAUAAUUAUAGUAUCAUAUAUUAAUUAGGUAGUAGAUUGAUUUAGAUUAGCAUGAUUUUAGAAUCUAAAUUAGGUUACACUUGUAUAUAUAUAUAUAUAUAUAUAUGUAUAUUGUGUAGUCCAAAGAUAUGAAAAAGAGUAUUUUCUCUCCCUUUGUCUUAGUUUUCACAACUCAUCUAAAUUUAAAUUUAAAAUCUAAAUUGUGCUUAUGUGUCAUGCAUUCAACUAUGAAAGUGUAUAUAUUAUUAGUGUAAAUAAGAUUAACUCAUAUUUAUAAAAUAAAAAUAUAUAUUCAAUUUUUCAAAUCAUAAUCUACCAAUAAUUUCUAUAUUUCUUGCAUUAGUAUUUCUCAAAUUUUCUUGGAAUACGCAUACACAUAAGGUGUGCCUUUCUUAUUAGUAUCAAUAUCACAUAAACAGUACCUACACCAUAUGUGCAAGCCUAGAAACUUAUCUUGUUAAGACUUUUGAAAAUAUCCGUAUGCUGUCAUAUUUAUUUCAAAAUAAUGUAAAAAGCAGAAAGCUGUUCUACGCAGAUUCUUGAAAACGCCCCACAUGACAUGUAAAUCAAGUCAUAUGCGUCAAAAUAUAUAUGAAAUUUUCUAUGACAAAAUGUACAUGGUGCGUAUAGAAUAUCAUAUAGCCUUCAAUCGUGGAAACAUUUAAAACUCAUGACAAAUCGAGGAGCAGUCCCCUAACAAUUUAAAUUAAUGUACGCAGCAAGUUUGUUGAACUGAGUAGGAAUAGAUUUAAAAGUCAUAUUGCAUUAGAAUCCUCACUUGGACGGGAAAAAAAAUUUAAGGGUAGGGGUGGGGAUGGGAGAGGGAGGUAAUAAUAUGUCUUGAGAUUUUGUUUGGGUGUUUUUUAAGUAUUUCGAUUGGGUGCUAUUAAUGUACUUGUGCUGUCCUCAGGACUUGAAUUUUAAAAAGCUAAAGAAUCCAAUCCUACUGUUCCGAGUUUGAGAACUAGUAAAACUAGUCUGAACACCCGUGCCAUGCACUGUAGAUCAUAUUUUUGGAAGAAAUUAUAAUCAAGGGGGGAAUUUAAAAAGUAAGAAAUGUAUGUAAUUGUUUGUAUAAUUUAGGGCACAUGAAAAUAUAGUUAAAAAAAAUGAGAUUUUGUAGCAAUAGUUCAAUACAUGAUAAAAGCAUCCCCAUUUUUUAUAAACUACCACAUUGAUGGAAGUUGGAUUAUGAAAUUAAAAAAAAAAAAUAGAAAUCUAUAUCAUAAAUUGAGCGAAAUGAGGGUUCAAUUAAAUGUAACUAAAUAUUUAGUUUGAUAAGUAAAUGAAAUACCUACAAAUAUUUUGCCUUCAAUUUGAUAAUCUUCUAUGAAGGUGGGAACAUUCUCCAUACCAAUCAACUCUAAGUACGAAUGCGAGUAUUGGGGGUUUAAUUAAUUCUAUUGAAUUUUGUGAAGUUUGUACUAUAAAUGAGAAUGCAUGAUUUUUGCAUGAAUUAAUGUGUUGGUCAAACAAUGUACCUCCAUUUUCCUAACACUUAGGAGCAUACGGAAUUUAGAAUUAUAAUUUAUUUUAGAAAGUUUGUAAAUAAUAUUGUAUAAAAAUAUAUACAUAUAAAUAAUUUAUACCUUCCCUUUUAAAUUUCUAAGAUGAGAAGCACGACAGCGAAAUAUGAAUCGUGCAUGCAUGUCUUGAAGAGUAAGGUAUAGGUUACCACACGAAUCUCUAACUUGUAUGUUAACAUUGUAUCUGUUAAGAAGAAAUUGUGAUAUACAAUAAAAAAAAUGUAAUUAAAAUUAAAGAUAUAUGGAAAUAAUUACCUGAAAAUAGUGUCAACUACAUUAUUACAAUGGAUGCACACCAUUUUUGAAAAAUGAGAUUGACAUGGUUGUCCUCAAUUUUUUGUAUAACUCAUGGAACAUAUUGUCUAUGUUAAUGCCUUGAAUGUAAGCAAGUAUUCGAAAAUAUUUAACCUAAAACCAUUCAAAAAACAUAUAGAUUACAAUUAUUAAUUCAAAAUAAUAUGUAGAUAAGUAUUCAUUAAUUAAUUAAUUGAGAGAAUUUUUACCAUAGGUGUGAUUGCAUAUUCGGAUAUCCAUAUUCUCUUAGUAUUUGAUAUCAACAAUGCCUGUGACAUUGUAAGAUUGCAUGACCUCAACCACGUUACUAACUUCUAAGCACAUUUAUCAUUUUCAAACCUACAAAUUUUUCAAAUACAUAUUUGUAAGUGUAUGAAAUAUUAUUAAUAAUUUAAUAUUUUGUUAAUAUUUUUAAAACUUACCCACUAUGUCGAUAUUGAGCAAAUCCAAGUAGUGAUUGACAUAUAAUUUGCUUGCUCGAAUUGUACAAAGUAAUGGUCUUGCACAAUGUGCUAUAUUUAUUAAUAAACUAUAAAAUUAAAUAAAUAAAGUGAAAAGAAAUUGAAUUACCUUUAUAAUUUCUUACACAAAUACCACAGGCUAGUAAAACAUUUUAUUUUUUGCAAUAGUUUGAUGUGGGUGUUCACCAUCAUCAGUAGCAAAUUUAUCACAUAAAGUCAACCAAGCUACUGUCAAGCUUCAUUUAGAGAAUUUUAGUAAGUAUAAAAAAAUUUGUAGAUUAUAAAAUGUUUUGAAAAUAUUAAAUUUAUUAACUAACCUUUUGUCGAGUAAAAGUAUAUAACGCCUAGUUUUAUCAUUGAUAGAUGUUUGAUAGCAUGAACCAACAGAUGCAACUAAACCAAUCACAUUUGCAAAAGGUAAAAAAGUAUAAGUAAUAGCAGUUCAAAUGUACAACUUAAAAAGAAAAAUGGUUAAUUUUGAAUGAAAUACCUUUUUUUUUAUGGCAAACCUUGUACACGAGAGGGGGAUGUCAGCCCCAAUUUAUUUCAAAAUCAUAGCAUUACAAAUGAGUCCUUACACAUGCUAAUCUUAAUGAAUUCUUGUAUGAAAGUUAGGGUAACCUAAUCUGUGAGAACCCUGAAAAUAGACAUAUUAAUAUCAGUGCAUAUUUUAUUUGCAUUUUAAUUCUUUAAUAAAUUUUAGCACUAAGUCCAAUUGUUUUUAAAUAAGUACGUAGAAAUAAACGUUAGGUGCAAAAUAAAAGAAUUGUGCUAAACUACUAAACUUCUUAGUUUUGUUACAUUAACUUCAUAUUUCAAUGGUAAACUAUUUCAUUGAUCUAAUAAUUAAUUUCUUUGAAUUCUAGUAUUGUAAUUAAUUGUUUUGAAAUAAAAGUGUAAAGAUAAUUUCUAUGUAAUAAAUAAUAUAAUUGUGCCAAUAUUGAAUUAUUCGGUUUUGCUAUACUAAAUUAAUAUUUCUUGAGUUGGAUUAAUUCUAUUACUUUAAAAUAAAUUCUUUGAUUUCCGAUAACUAGUUUUAAUCGUUAAUAAUGUUAAAUGUUAAUAGAAAUUUCCGCGUUAAGAUGAAAAUCAAUGAAUUUUAGAUAAAUAUGAUACUAAUAUACUAAACAUACUUAAGGCGUGAAAAUUUCGAUAAUUAUAGUCUUAUCCUUCUUUGUUUUCACAAUAAGUGCGUAAAAAUAAUUUUUAUGUGCAAACUGACACCCUUGGAUUAAAUUAUUGUUUCACUUGACUUUAUAUUACUAAAACGAUAAAUUUCGAGUUAGAUUAACUCUAAUUCUUGAGAUAUAAUAAUUGGAAAUUCUAAUAACUAAUUCAAUCGCUAAAUAAUAUAAGAAUUAAUAGGAACCUUAAUAUUCAAGUUUAAUCGAUUAUUAUUCGAUAAAAAUGGUUUAGGUAUAUUAGGAUAUGAUUAGACGUUCAAAUCACACUUGGGGAUAAUUUUUAGAAUUAAGUCGGAAUUGAGAAGUUAAGUAGAGGUUAGGAAGAAAAGUGAAAAGACUAAAAUGCCCUUACAACCACAACAUUUCCCUGCAAAACCAAACAAUCCCUCUGACCGCAAGUUCAAUUACCGCAACUAUCACCAAUUCUAUACGCAAUCGAUUCUAAUACAUGAAACCUCUGCUCCUAAAACCGCGGCACCGUAUACCAUUCUUUCUAUUUCACAUCUCAAACCACAUUUCCAUUUCUGCCGAAGUGCAAUCUUUUCCCUCUACACAUAUACUCAACCUCCACUACCGCAAAUCACUUCAUUAUUCCAGCCUCUACCACAACUACUCCACACCAUUCUUCCUCACCUCGUGAUCAUCGACCAGGAGAGAGAGAGAGAGAGCUACACUCUGCAAGUCGAGAGUGAGAGUGAGGGAGAGCCGAGCUUCUUGUUUCUUUUCUUUCUGUCCGUAAGCUAGAGAGGGAAGAGAGGGACUUGCGAUCCAUUUUGCCUUCUAACCGUGAGCUGGUGAAGGGACUGAGGGCUGAACUUUCUCCAUUCCAGCCGCCACCCAGAGCAAGGGAGAGAGAGAGCUAGUGGUCUGCAUUUUCUGGGCUGCCGAAGGGAGGAGGAUUAUUUCUGCUGCUAACCGUGUGUGUGAGCUCCAUUUGAGGUAACUUCUGAGCUGAAAUUAGUUGGUUAUAGGCAAGUGAGGUCAGCUAUGGACUUGCAUGUGGUGCUUGUGAGGUUAGAUGAGGAUUUGUAACUUAAGAAAUCUGAUUUGGAAAAGAAUUAAAGCUGUCGAAAGUUUGAAGCUGGAAUUGCAGCUUGUUUCUGGAAAUUUGCUGGAAAAUGGUUGACUUUCACAUGGGUAGGUGCUUGACUAAUUAAAAUCAGAAGGUUAAGCUUUGCAUGAAAUUAUCAGACCGGCUAAGCAAGAGUAAUAAAAUAAAAAGAAACCGAAUCUGCUACAUGCAUGUUUCAUCCGAGACUUGUUGGAAAAUUCUGGAAUUGUGGAUGAUAGUAGUUGCUGUCCGAACUUGAUUUAAACCAGAGCUGAUAGUAAUUCCAUUAAUUAGUCAUGCAUGUUGGUUUUGAGUACUUAAUACAAGGUUUUAACUGAAGAAAAUCCAGAUUUGCGUCUAACUUAGCUGCUGGAAAUUUUCUGGAAUAGCCGAGAGACUUCAUGUUUGUUUGCAUUUGUAAUUGCUGUCAAAUGGAAAAUUUUGUUAUGAAUUGCAUAUAGAUUGUUAGCUUUAAGUAUUAAGUGAAGCUUAAUGGAAGAAAAUCUGAGGAAAAGUUGAAUUGUGGAUUGAAACCGAGGGAAAUUUUCUGCUGCAAAAUAUUCCAGCUUGGUCGAGAGAAGGAAGUGAGCAUUUAAUUAGUUUUGUUUUCGAAUUUCAAUUCAGAUUUUCGUAUUGGAUGUUUAAGAUUUGCUUGAGGCUUGCUAAUCACCUUUUGCAUGUUGAGCUGAGGUAAGAAUUGAAGAAAACUAGGAACAAAAGCUAUAUAAAUAAACUAUCAAUUGCUGGCAAAUUUUAUCUUAGCUGAUGACAGAUUUAUGGGGACUUUUUGGUGGAAUAAUUUAUUGGAAUUAAGCGUUAUUUGCUUUGAUAUAUGCUGGUAUGAAUGUCAUACUUAAAUGUAUGAUGGUUUGAAUAAGAGUCUUAUGGUUUUAAAAGAGGAAAAGGAGUUUUUCACAAGUGAAAAAUGAGUUUCCUGAUUUUCGGAUUUCUCUGACCAGUCUCAGUAAAAUGCUUAUAUCUUGGUGUAGGAAAAUCCGAUUGAGGUGCCGUCAGUGGCAUUUGAAACUAGAGUCAUGGGUCUUUGUUUUGUAGAAAUUUCAUAUUUUUCCUCCAUGUGUACUGCUGUCCGUGAUUCCUCAAAGUAGGCUGUCCUGUUUCCUCAGGAAACUGAAUUCUUGACUUGGAUAGAAUAUUUGGCCCAUUUGUGAUUUGAAUCUCUGAAAAGUGUCUUCUGGGAUGUGAUAGUAUUAAAAAAUCUAUUCUACAACAGUAUAAUUUUCAUAAUUGUUUGAUUUGUGGAACAUGAACUAAAGCAAUUUUUGAAGGAAAAUAUUUUUCCAGCAUGACCGAACUGGUUGGGACUUUUGGUGAGUUUAUUUGCUGGAUUUGUGUAUUAUUUACUUUAGCUUGGUUUGGACAGAUUAUAAUCUAUAUGUAUAGUGAUUCUAGCAAAUAAAAGUGGAAAGUUUAAUGGAUAUUUUAGAUUCUUGGAAUCAUUUGGAUCUCAAGUUGGUUAUAGUUUUUGUUCUUGUUUUGAAUGAAUUGGUAUUUGAAAGUGUGUAUUGGUUGUCAAGAGCAAAUGAUUGAUGAAGCCCUUGGCCAUUUGAAUGAAUUUAUAAGUACUACUGGAUGAUGAAAGUUAAUUGCUGGAAUGUCUUGGAUGUGGCGGCCCCACUUCUCCCUAAGGCGAACCAGAGGGUUGGCGGGUCGCCUGCCCAGCUCUCGCCAGGACUCACGCAAGCAAACCAAUCAAACAUUCCAAUAUAACUUAACCUAAAACACAAUUCGCCAUCCGAACAUGCCAAACUUUUAAAAACUGGAAUACUAAAACACGUUAACUUCAGAGAUAACAUGGCCAACAACAUCUGAACAUUCACUCUUAAGGUACAACUCCAACUAUCUUAACGUAUAACUACCUUUAUACAUUACAAACCAUGAAGUGGAAUCAUAAAAGUUAAACACUUUCAUACAAGCCAAAACACAGGGUUGCACUUUUCCAGCUUCAAGUGACAACCCAAAACAAAGGUACAAGUACGAAUCGAAAUACUAUUUACAAAACGAUAAGGUAGACUUCAAGUCUCUCGAUUUCCAGGACCUGUUAAGGAAAACAAAUAUCGUAUGGUGAGCUAAAGCUCAGUGGUGCCCAAAACAUGCAAUUACAUAGAACGAGUAGCAAUUAUUGAUUUUAACUAAAGUAAACAAUUAAGGAAGCGUAUAACAGCACAGGGUAGGAUACAGGGGCUCUCAGGAGCCAUUUUCCUUGCACUUGAUCAAAAUUACCCGCAGUUGACCCUCCAUCAACUUUCGCUAUCUAAAGUCCAUGUAGAUUCAUUAUUAUUAUUUUUUUCUUAACACGCUCCAGCCAACUUACUUCCCCAACCAGGCCCGCACGAGAGAAUUUGGUAUUACUCGAGUAUACCUUUUUAUAGACUAGUCGAGGAAUUCACCCAGCGACGUUGCGUCCAGCAUGAGUUUAUUAUAGACUAGUCGAGGGAUUCACCCAGCGACGUUGCGUCCAGCAUAUAGACUAGUCGAGGGAUUCACCCAGCGACGUUGCGUGCAGCAUGAGGUUAUUAUAGACUAGUCGAGGGAUUCACCCAGCGACGUUGCGUCUAGCGUGUGGAUAGUGCAAGCAGGAUAUUCACGAAAAUAUUUCAAGCAAGUCACCACUCGAAAGAGCUAGUGUGUAAAGUACACACUGCCCACUUCGAUGGAUCAGAAAACCAUUUUUCCAAUUAUCACAUAUCAAAUCAAGAAAGCACUUUAAUCAAGUAGGCAUUGAACAAGCAGGGACACUCACCAAUUCGAAAAUAAUUAAGCGAGAAAGUCUUUAAUUGUCCCCUCCGGGAUUCUCUUCAAGACUAGCUUGGGCACCUGAAGCAAUUUGACGAGUAUUUUUCACUCAUAAUCACGCUUUAAUCAAGAAAGGAGUUACACUCAUCUAGACUUGUCAAUACCUCAAAUUAAGAACCUUAACCACUCAAAAUAAAGGUUCAAAAGUGAGGUUUUAUUAACACAAGGAGAAAAUGAUUUCCUUCAUGAAAUCAAGUUUAAAGCGACCAAUUAUCAUCAAGAAGGAAUAACGGGUUUUCAAAUUUUCAGUUUAUAAGAAAUCGGCAAAAUUUCAGCUUUGCACGUCAAACUUAGAAAAAUCAGAUCUUGUACUCAGUAGGUCCAAAAUUGGAAAACUUGGUACCGUUGGAAACUACUUCUAAAAUACUAAAAGUUCCUAGAAUACACAUUUCUAAGAUUCCACAUGGAAAAUAUUCAAAAAUAAGCUCAAAGUCUCUGUUUUAGUUCAUAAGGCAGAUUUAAGUUGAUUUUUAGUCAACUUUGAAAAUUCGGAAAAAUUCACUUGUUUGGAACUAGCUUUUGCAAUUUAUAACUCUAUUAGUGUUGUAAUCCGAGAGUAUAACAAAACAAACGAAAUGAGAAACGGAGUUUUGAAUACUAAGAUAUGGCAACUCAAAGUUACCAAAAUUCCUUUGUGAAACAUGGGUUUUUCAAACUCGAGUCAUGAACUUUGGUAAUUUAUUUGACCCAUGAAACGGUCUCAGAAUAACACCAUAAUUAGCAGUAUAAUACUACCAUAUAAGGGUUGUCUCUCUACCAAAUUUCAUAGAAAAAUAUGCACGGGAAGUCACUUAACAAAAUCACUCAAGUUUCCAAAAUUUUAAGGCAAAGCUGCCUUGUAUAUGAAAAUUUCCUUUUCUAAACUUUUUUCCAAGGGAAAAUUCUCUAAACCUGGUUCAUUUACAUAGAAAAGGUUUAAGGGUCAUCCCAGAACAACAUUUGUGGUGGUUAACACCAAGAGAUUAAAUUUGCAAGUCUACACUGAGCCUUGCAUCAAAUCUGUCCCAAAAAGGAGGGUUUUCACACACAGAGCAGGUUUCAUAUUUUGAUCACAGAUCACUCAAAUUAACUCAGAAUUGGACAUGGUUUAAGGCGUUCGAAAACCCAUUCAUAGAGCUAUGAUUUCACAGAAAACAUCAUUUUGAAAUUCGACACACAACUAGCUCGAAUUCGAGCCACAAGUUGCAGCCUCAGCAUUUCGUUCUUUGUAAAACAGAGAAACAGAGUAGCCAUCUUUAAAUGGUUGGUUUGGCUCACGCACAUGGGUCCAGAAUGUGCAUUUUAUACCGCUGGAAAGGCUGGGAUGUCUAGUUUCAAAUACCGCUGACGGCACUUGAUUUCGACAUCGGAGCACAGAGUUAUGGCUGAAAUACGAAAACUGGUCAAAGCAUUACGAAAACAGUUUUUCCAGAUUUACUAGCUUCACGAAAUUGAUCCAAUUGACAAACCAAACCUCAAUAUUUUUCAAUGAAACUUUGUACAUUAUAUAUUCAACAUAUAAACAUGAUAUACAAGUCAUGAAACCCUAAAAAUUCUGCAAAAAGGGUGCGAUUAAAACAGGGCAAAUCUGGACAUUUUUGAACUAUGCAUCCCUUGAAAUCUAGACUAGCUAGGUAUCAUUAAUCUACUUAUUUAAACACUAAACUAGUAUUAUAUCCAUCAUCAAUCCAAGGGUGGGAGUUCAUAGAGCCCACCAUCAAAAUUUUCCGACAUGAAAUAAAACAAUUAACAUGCAAAGCUUAAUCAUCUAAUUUUAAUUAGUCAAGCACCUAACUAAGUGAAUAUAAACCACUUCCCAGCAAAUUUCAUGCUAAAAUACCCAUGCAAUUUCCAAAACAUCUUCAACGGCUAAACUGGAAAAAUUGUUUCAGCAGUCCAUCAACUCCCAUUAAAAUUUCCAGCCAUGCAACCGAAAUUCAAGCCAUAUAGUUCACAUGCAACAUCAAAUAAGGAACUAUCUAUCAAUUUUGAUCCAUAAGCAAGUUCGGACAACAUCAAAGCAUUACUCAACCAGAAAUUCAAACAAUCCUGCUCUCGGUUGGCUUGCAUGCAAAGCCUAAUUAACUUGUUAUUAAUCAUCUAAUCAUGGUUAUAAGUUUAAACAACAACACUAAACCAAAUCAGGUUGCAAAAAUUUGAGCUAAGCUUUCGGCAGAAAUUUUCUUAACCCAAACCAGAAUUUUCUCUGUUUUAACACAUCAUCCGAAUGCACAAUUUUAACAUGCAUGAUCUAAACAUCAAGUUUUCACACAGCUAAAGGCACUCAAGUGUUUCAAAUUGUCACAGGAAACAAAAUGGAAUUGCAAAAAAAAUCACUUCAGCUUCUCGGCAGCAACAUAUCAGCCAAACAGAAAUUUUGUAAUGGUUUGUUUUCAACAUCCGAUUGUACAAUCUGAACAUGCAUGCUCAGAUGUAGCUUGCUCAACUAAUAAUCAACCUAUUUUAGACCAGAAAUUACCUCAGCUAGCAACUAAUCCUUCACACGAAAUUCCAGAAAUUUCCUCCCUAGCUCUCAGCCAAGUGCAGUCGGUGAUUCUGGUUUGAUGAGUUGCGGCUGGGAGGUGAAGUGCAGCUUGGUUGAGGUUGAAAAAUGACCACGGCUGGAAGAAGGAGGAGGUUCGAUGGUCCCCUGGUCUCUCCCUCAGCUUACGGUUAGCAAGAAAAGAAACAAGAAGCUCGGCUCUCUCUCUCUUGCUCCCUGAUAAGUGACUAAUUUACGUAAUAAUUGUAUGACAUUUUAUAUUAUUUUUAGUCACUUUGGUUAUAUUAUUGGAAGAAAAUGAUUUAUUUUGGCUAUAAUUGGUAUAAAAUGCUUUUGUUCAAUUAAAUGAGGUUUUUAUCACUUUUUAGUGGGAUUUUGUGUAUUUUUGACAGUUUUGACACAUUUUCGUAUUUCGGCUAUAACUUGAGUUACAAUGAUCGGAUUUGGAUGAUUCUUGAACCCAUUUGAAGAUAAGAGAUAGAUCUACAACUUUGGUGAAGACAUCUGAAUCCAGUUUGAAGGUUUUCCAGGUCAAAAAGCCGAAGAACAGAGUCAAUUGCUAUUGGUCGAAACUAGAACAAGGCAUGGAGCAGGCAAGGGUAUUUCAGUCAUAUCUCAGCCUACACAGAUCCACUAUUCAUCCGAACCCUCGGCUGUUUCUGGGUUAGUGGAACCGAGCUCGGAUCCAUACGGAUCCGAGGCACUGUAGCAGCUCGGAUCACUGUAGCAGCCCAGAUUUACUGUAGCAAUCCGGCCGGAAUUUGGCCGGAUUUGUGGCCGGAUUCCUGGCCGGAUUGUGGUCAGAGAAGUCUGCUUUUUACGCGGAAAACUCAAUUUCACCUCCACCAACUCACAUGGGAUGCUAGACAUGUGAGAAACAUUACCAGCUGUAAGGAGAAAGUGUAAAGCUUCAUUCCUUGACCAUUUUCAUCAUUAAAAAGAGCUAAAUUCAUUGUAAGAAAGAGAGGGGAGGAUAGAGCAAAAAAGAGAGCAAGAGAUAGGGAGACAUACGGGAGAAGCUUGGAAGAGCAGAAAUGUAGUUUUUCCAUUCUCUUAGUAUUAGUUUAGCUUAGUAUAGAGUAGUAUAGUUCAUCCAUUCUUGUUUAUUAUCUAGAUUAGGAUGAAGAUGGAGGAUGAAGAAGGCAAGGAAGAAAGCUCAUGUGACAAGGGUUGUAUUCCUUCCAAACUCUUUAUCUUUUGUAUUUGAUUCCAAGUUUAGUUAAUAUACAAGUUCUGGAUUUUGUGUUUAAUAUGUGUUUUUAAAGUUUAUACCUUGGGUUUGGUUGAACUUUCUAUGAUUGUUAGUGUUUAUUAUUUGGUUAUUUGAUUGCUAUGAUUUGAGCAAGUUAUUUAGCACUUUGGCUUCUUAAAUCAUGAUUAAUCUGGUACCAUUGAUUGUGAUGAUCUAAGGUGUUGUUUCUGCAAUGAAAAUUGAGAUUUAACACUAGUUCAAGAAGUGCUAAACAUAAGGAGUACACUCACGAAAGUAGAGGUGCACUUAUGUGGUUUUUAGUGAUUCAUAUCAUGUAAUUUCAUUGAAGAAAUGAACUUGUAGCUAAUUUCAUAACCAUGAAAAUAGGUAUGGAUUAGUUAUAGGUAUAAUUGAUUCACUACGAAAGUAGGAUUCAAAUGCAUAAGGAAAUUACACCAUAAUUAGCCUAGAUGUAGUAUUCAAUGAUCCAAAUAUAGCACUUGCAUGAGUAGUUAGGGAUACCACAACCUAAGGAGAUUUUAUUUGUUAUUUUGUAUAAUUUGAGUAGGUAAAAUUUGUUAUAAUUCAUUGAUAGUCUAAAUAAUAGAGAAGCUUUAGUAGUACCGGUAAUUGCAAUCUUCCUUGUGGGAUCGACCCUUAAUACCCUAUACUCGCUCACGAUUCGUAUACUUGCGAUAAAUCGCGUGUGGGGUGUUUAGGAGUUUAUAAAUGUAAAACUUGAUUAGAAUGAGGUUAAAUUGAUAUGUAUACCCUGCGCACGUCAAGUUUUUGGCGCCGUUGCCGGGGAAGAUUUGGCAAUAUCGGUGUGAAGAGCAACUUUAUUAGUUUAGACAUAAUAUUAGUUAUAAUGUGAAUGUUAUUUUCUAUUAUUUUUGUAUUUUAUGUGUAUGUGUUUCAUUACCUAUUUUUCUUACUAAUUUUGCUUUUGAGGUUGUUUAAAAGCAAUUUUAGGUAAUGAGAAGGGUAGGUCAAUUUGGAGGACAAUGCUUGAGAAGUGGAAGAUUGGCAAUGGAUGGUUACCAAGUGCAAACUCCUUCAACAGAGGUAACCAAGAAUUUACUGAAUGUAUGUCUUUUGAAGAUGGUUUAAGGUGCUUAAAGGCUAAAUUUGAUGUUAUGAUAUUACAAGUUCAAAUGGACGCAAUUAUGCAUGAAAUUGAGCAAGGGAGGAAUGUUAAUGCUUUUAAUUCUUAUCAUGUGAUUUGUGACUUGUGUGGAGGUUAUCAUGCUACUAAUACAUGUAUGCAAGCACAAAAUGUGGAUUAUUAUGAUGAAUUAGAGCAUUACAAUCCUUGUUUUGAUCAAUAUAGUGCUAAUUGGAGCAAUUCUCCUGCUUAUGGUUGGGAUAAUCAAUUUACUUAUAGUAAUUCUUCAUAUUUUUAUGAUUACCAACCUGAAUGUGUCCAAUAUGAAUCAAAACCAUCUUGGGAGUUGGCAAUUGAAAUGGUAGCUAAUGAUUCUAAGCCAUCUUGGGAGUUAGCUAUAGAAAAAUUAGCUAAUGUGACUUCCGACCGUUUUGAUAGGAUUGAGGAAAGAAUAGAUGAAUUAGCUUCUCACUUUGGUAGAAUACAUGAGCAAUUGAGUGCAUUGUGUGAAGUUAUUUCCUCUAAUAAUGUGCAAAAUGAUCCUAGCAUGAAUGGUGGGAAUGUUGUAUGUGAAAAUGGGUUGCAUUUUGAUGAAAAUGAUGAAUCUCAAUUGUGUUUUAAUGAGCAAAUAUCCAUUUCACAUGAUAAUAUCUUUGGAACUAACUUUGAACCUCAAGAGGUGAGUUUUAAUGACUCAUUUUUCACCCCUCUUGAGGAGUGCAUUGAAAGUAUAGGUUCUAAAGGUAUUCCUGCCCAAGAUACUCUCAUGGCAUUCCCUUUGGUAAGUUCUCAAGUGGUGUAUAUUCAAGGUAAUAUCUAUGAAACACUUGGAAUAUGUAAGUCACUUCCAUCUCUCACAUCAUUAGAUCUUGUGGCUUUUGCUAUAAAGUCACCUUUUAAUGAUCCACCACGGCCUAAAAUGGUGGAUUAUUCGUUAACUAAGCCUCCUUGAAAAAUGAGGUGAAAUAGUCAAGCUAUUGACUUUAAAGAAGCGCUUAUUGGGAGGCAACCCAAUGCUUAUUUAAGUUGGUGUUACUUUGGAGUGAUUUUAUGUUUAAAGUAUAAGUUUGAGUAAUUUUGUUGUUUUUCAUUUGUAGGUUUUGAAAAAGUGACCAAAUGAGGUGAAAAGGGCGAAGUUUGAUCAAAGAUCUCAAUACCUCAAAUUCAGUAAUUAUGGUUUUUGAUGCAUUAAAGAGGUUUAGAAUGCAUGUUUAGAUCAUUUUACAUGUGCGUGAAUGGUUUAUUUUGACAUAGAAAUGAUCUAGGGUGUAUUUUGAAGAAUUGAGGUCAAACUGAAAAUUGCAAAAAUUCUGCAAUAAGUGCAGAUUCAAUGGAUCCGAGCUCGGAUCCAUAUGGAUCCAAGGCCUCGGAUCCACUUCUGCAAUCAGAAAAAAAAUUCGAACUUCUUGAUCCGAGCUCACUCACAAUGAUCCGACCUCGGAUCCUUUCAAAAACGACCUCGGAUCCUGUUAAAAACGAAGGCUUGGAUCACUUUUCAACUCCACUUUUCUUCAUGUUGGCUUGUUUUUAGUAAGUUUUAGUUGUUCGAUUAAUGUUUUUGUGUGUUUUGUAGGUGGCAAUGACAAGAGUUCAUGCAAAUGAUCUCAAUUGCAAAGGUGUUUAUAUUAAGGCAAAAAGGGAGUUUUCAUGUUCAAUUGCUGCAUUUCAUGCAUUUAAGGUGUUUCAUGUUUAAGUUAUAUUCAUGCAUGAUCAUGUUAAAUUUGAAUUUUAUUCAAAGAACAUGAAGUAGGUUGAAUGUGGAAGGUUGGCCAAGCAAAUUUGGAGGAAAAACUGCAGAAAACAGCUUUUUCUGCAGCAAAUCCGGCCAUAAAUCCGGCCAAAUGUUGGCCGGAUUGAAGGCCGGAUAGUCAGGGGAGAAAAGAAAAUUUUUUCGAGCAUUCUGGAUAGAAUCCGGCCGAAAAUCCGGCCUGAAAUCCGGCCAAAAACUGGCCGGAUUGUAAAAAAAAAAAUACUGUAGCAAAUCCGGCCAAAAUCCGGCCUGAAAUCCGGCCAAAAACUGGCCGGAUUGUAAAAAAAAAAAUAAAAAAUAAAAAAAUCUGCCCAGAAUCCCUCCAGCAAUCCCUCCACGAAUCCCUCCAAUUUCUGGCCGGAUUGUGAACAGUAACCAGCGUAAGAUGAAUCCGUUUCACGGAUUCCUCACAAUUUUUCUCCCUUCUUCUUCAACCCAACUCACACACUAACACCUCAAACACACACCACUCACUAAAACACCACUUCUCACCAUUUAAUCUUCAAAUAACCUUCACCAAAUCACUUUCUCCCAUCCUCUAGAGUGAAUUUCAUAGUUCAUAUUUUUUCAAAAACAACUCUAAAGUGGUUUCAAGCUUACCAUUAGUUAGGGUUCUACCUUCUUGAAAUCACUCAAUUGAGGUCAAAUUGGAGUAAGUUUCUUGAGGGUUUUCACAUCAUAUUGAUCUCUAAACAUCACCAAACCACCUUGAGGUAACAAUUCUUCACCUAACUUUGUUAUUUGAAUUUUGCCAUGAUUGAAUAUUUUCUAUUUUUAGGCAAUUUUUAAUAUGUGAAGUUAGGUGCAUUUAUUUGAGCUUAUUGAUGCUAUUGGUGAUUGUUAGUGAUAACUAUAUUUUGUGAUUUGCAUUUAUUGUACUUAUUUGGUGAAUUCUUGCUAGUUUUAUGCUUAAUUUGGCUUGAUGACGAAGUUGCAUAUUAAGUAGCCAAAUGUAGCAUUUUAAUUAGCUUAGUGGGAGUUUUUUAUAUUUAUGUGAGUAAUUUAGAUUAUCUAAUGAAUGAAAAUGUGCUUGAUUGAAUGAUUUUGUGAAUUCUUAGGUAAUUCUAAAAGAAGAGGUGAAUUGAAGAUGACCUUAAUUGAUGAAAUUCAUAAAUGCACUUACAAUUUUUGUAGUUUUUAGUAUUUCAUGAAUUCUCACGAAGGUCAUUUAUAUUUUGGUUCGGUGUGUUUGCCUCCAUUUUGAGAUUACUUUUGUACUUGCGGGGAUUUGAUCAUUGAUGACAAAAUAUAUAAAUGGAACUUAUUUUGUUCAUGAUUGUGGAUUUUUUGUGUGAAAUUAGCUUCCCUUUGCUUUGGAUACUAAUGCAUAUAUUUGAUUAGCAAAGAUUAGCUCAUUUCAUGUUUUUAUCCCUUGAACAUUGUAUGGUUCCACAUGCUUGAUCAUUUUUCCUUUUCCUUGAAUUGCAUGAUUUUGUUGAUUGCAACCUUUUAUCUUUAAGAAAUUUAUUUGUUUUGAUUUUGUCUUUUUCAGGAUGCAAUAAGUGAACUCUCCAUUCUUUCUCAAAUACGGUUGGAAAUUCAUCACUUGGACAUGGAUUCGGAUUGCGCAAGUUCAAUUGAGCAGUAUUUUCUUUUACUCUAUUUAUUUUCCUUUUCUCACAUUGAGGACAAUGUGAAGUUUAAGUGUGGGGGAGGAAAAUAUUGAACUUGCAUUUACUUGCUAGGUGAUGAUAUUUUGGUGAUUUAAAUGCUUAGAAAUGUUGGAAUUAUGUUUGAAUUAUUUGCCAUGUGGAUAAUUUGCUUGAAAUUGGGUUUGUUGGCAGGAAGUUUUCAUCCAUUUAUAUGGGGAAACUCCGUCAAAAUUUUUCUAACAUCUUGUCCAAUAUUUCACUAUGGCCCAAAAGUUCUUCAAUUUUUUCAUUUUUAUUUCAAAAAGGGCUAAAGUAUUCCAACCUUAAGUGUUUAAUUCUUCCAAUUGUUGAAACUUUAUAUGUAUUUUGGAAAGUUUAGUCCUCAUUUAACUUGGAAAUGUUUAUUACGCAAUUAGAAUUUUUACAUUUUAGAAAGUAUAUUUGGUAAAAUGAGGAAAAUUAUGCCUAUAAUUUUACAUGUUUAAUGAGAUUUCUUCUCUUUACUUAAUUUUGCAAGUAAGUGAUUGAUAUAGUCGAUAAAGGUUAUAUUCCUCCUUUGAUUAUUCUUAUAUAUUUUCUAAGAGGGAAUAUCUAUUUAUUGUCCUUUAUUUCUGAAAAAAAAGUAGAAAAAAAAAGAAAAGAAAAGAAAAGAAAGUAAAUAAAAAUUGUUCUACUCCAAUGAUUCUCGUACCGAGUAACCGGGGGUUGGCAUCUACAAAUGUCGACAUUCGCGCAAAAAGGUAUUUGAAUUAAGAGUAUGCAUUAGCAACUUGAAUAAGUGAAAUGUUGAGUAACCGGGGAUCUUCACCUAAAAGUGUCGAUUUUCGCGUAAAAAGGCAUUCUCACUAUUUAAGUAAAAUUUGUAUGAAUAAAUCCCUCUGAGUUAUAGAAUUUUGAGAAAAAGAUGAUUAUAAGGAGGAGGAAGGCUAUAAAUUGACUAUGUGAUUUGCUUAUUUGUAAAAUUAAGUUAGGGUAAGAGAUUAAGUUUAACUUGUUGAAUUUAGGGUAUAAUUAUCUUUCCUUUACUUGAUAUUAUGAGUAUUUAGUGUACAUUGAAUAAUUGUAUAAUGAUUAUUUUCCAAAUCUUGAGGAAUUAAAUUGGACAAAGUGCAUAUAUUGUUUCACCUCUUGAAUCAUUGCAUUUGAUUAUGUGUGAAUUGCUUGAGCACAAGCAAUGAUUUAAGUGUGGGGGAGUUUGAUAAGUGACUAAUUUACGUAAUAAUUGUAUGACAUUUUAUAUUAUUUUUAGUCACUUUUGGUUAUAUUAUUGGAAGAAAAUGAUUCAUUUUGGCUAUAAUUGGUAUAAAAUGCUUUUGUUCAAUUAAAUGAGGUUUUUAUCACUUUUUAGUGGGAUUUUGUGUAUUUUUGACAGUUUUGACACAUUUUCGUAUUUCGGAUAUAACUUGAGUUACAAUGAUCGGAUUUGGAUGAUUCUUGAACCCAUUUGAAGAUAAGAGAUAGAUCUACAACUUUGGUGAAGACAUCUGAAUCCAGUUUGAAGGUUUUCCAGGUCAAAAAGCCGAAGUACAGAGUCAAUUGCUAUUGGUCGAAACUAGAACAAGGCAUGGAGCAGGCAAGGGUAUUUCAGUCAUAUCUCAGCCUACACAGAUCCAAAUGAGGUGAUUCUUGAUGCAUUGGAAAGAUAAGUCAAAAGGCUACAACUUUCAUGUUUUAGACAUGAGCUGGUUCAGCCUCUAACAUCAGGAAACGAUCGGUUGAAGUUGGGCCAAAAACAGAGCAAGUGAUCCACACUCGGAUCCACUAUUCAUCCGAACCCUCGGCUGUUUCUGGGUUAGUGGAACCGAGCUCGGAUCCAUACGGAUCCGGGAUCCGAGGCACUGUAGCAGCUCGAAUCACUGUAGCAGCCCAGAUUUACUGUAGUAAUCCGGCCGGAAUUUGGCCGGAUUUGUGGCCGGAUUCCUGGCCGGAUUGUGGUCAGAGAAGUCUGCUUUUUACGCGGAAAACUCAAUUUCACCUCCACCAACUCACAUGGGAUGCUAGACAUGUGAGAAACAUUACCAGCUGUAAGGAGAAAGUGUAAAGUUUCAUUUCUUGACCAACCUUUCAUCAUUAAAAGAGCCAAAUUCAUUGCAAGAGGAAGAGAGAGGAGAUAGAGCAAAAAGGGGAUGAUAGAGUAAGAGAUAGAGAGACAUACGGGAGAAGCUUGGAGUCUGCAGAAAUGUAGCUCUUUCAUCUUCCUAGUAUUAGUUUAGCUUAGUAUAGAGUAGUAUAGUUCAUCCAUUCUUGUUUAUUAUCUAGAUUAGGAUGAAGAUGGAGGAUGAAGAAGGCAAGGAAGAAAGCUCAUGUGACAAAGGUUGUAUUCCUUCCAAACUCUUUAUCUUUGUAUUUGAUUCCAAGUUUAGUUAAUAUACAAGUUCUGGAUUUUGUGUUUAAUAUGUGUUUUUAAAGUUUAUACCUUGGGUUUGGUUGAACUUUCUAUGAUUGUUAGUGUUUAUUAUUUGAUUAUUUGAUUGCUAUGAUUUGAGCAAGUUAUUUAGCACUUUGGCUUCUUAAAUCAUGAUUAAUCUGGUACCAUUGAUUGUGAUGAUCUAAGGUGUUGUUUCUGCAAUGAAAAUUGAGAUUUAACACUAGUUCAAGAAGUGCUAAACAUAAGGAGUACACUCACGAAAGUAGAGGUGCACUUAUGUGGUUUUUAGUGAUUCAUAUCAUGUAAUUUCAUUGAAGAAAUGAACUUGUAGCUAAUUUCAUAACCAUGAAAAUAGGUAUGGAUUAGUUAUAGGUAUAAUUGAUUCACUACGAAAGUAGGAUUCAAAUGCAUAAGGAAAUUACACCAUAAUUAGCCUAGAUGUAGUAUUCAAUGAUCCAAAUAUAGCACUUGCAUGAGUAGUUAGGGAUACCACAACCUAAGGAGCUUUUAUUUGUUAUUUUGUAUAAUUUGAGUAGGUAAAAUUUGUUAUAAUUCAUUGAUAGUCUAAAUAAUAGAGAAGCUUUAGUAGUACCGGUAAUUGCAAUCUUCCUUGUGGGAUCGACCCUUAAUACCCUAUACUCGCUCACGAUUCGUAUACUUGCGAUAAAUCGCGUGUGGGGUGUUUAGGAGUUUAUAAAUGUAAAACUUGAUUAGAAUGAGGUUAAAUUGAUAUGUAUACCCUGCGCACGUCACUUCCCUUUGUCGAUGAAACCAAAGCUGCAGCCCUCACUCUCUCUUGUUCUCGGACUAAGGCAGAGGAAGAGCUGAGAUGGUUUUGUGGAGAGAAAGUGUAGUGGAUGGAGUGAGGUUUUGCAAAGGAAAUGGAAUUGGUGAAGGUGGUGUCUCGGUAUUAGAAAGGAGAAAUGGUUUGCGGUUUGGUUUUGUACAGAGAAAGAAUUUGAAUUGUGUCUUAAGUUUGUGAAAUGAAACAUGCAAUAGAGGGAAUGGUAUUAUGGUUUCAGCCGUGAGAUAGAGAGGACGGUUUGGUGGUGCCGUUGUUUGUGAGAGUGGUUUACGUGUAAAAGUUGAUUGCGUAUAACAUUGGUUGUGUAUCGAAAUGGUUAAUAUCAAUUGUGAUUUGAUUUGCAGUCAGACGUCUUGUUUGGUUUGCAUGGAAAGGUAAGGUAAGGGUAUUUUAGUCUUUUCACUUUGCUCCCUAACCUCAACUUAAAUUCUCAAUUCUAACUUAAUUCCAAAAAAAAAAAAAUAUCCCCAAGUGUGAUUUGAACGCCUAAAUAUAUCCUAAUAUACCUAACCCAUUUUUCCAUCGAAUAAUUAUCGAUUAAACUUAAACAUUAAGGUUCCUAGUAAUUCUUAUAUUAGUUAGCGAUUAAUUAGUUAUUAGAAUUUCUAAUUAUUUAUUUUAAAGUAAAAGAAUUAAUCUAACUCAAGAAAGAUUAAUUUAGUAUAGCAAAACCGAAUAAUUCAGUAUUGGGCACAAUUAUAUUAUUUAUUUCAUAAAAAUUAUCUUUACACUUUUAUUUCAAAACAAUUAAAUACAAUACUAGAACUCAAAGAAAUUAAUUAUUAGAUCAAUGAAAUAGUUUACCAUUGAAAUAUGAAGUUAAUGUAACAAAACUAAGAAGUUUAGUAGUUUAGCACAAUUCUUUUAUUUUGCACCUAACGUUUAUUUCUACGUAUUUAUUUAAAAACAAUUAGACUUAGUGCUAAAAUUUUAUUAAAGAAUUGAAAAUGCAAAUAAAAUAUGCACCGAUAUUUAUGUGUCUAUUUUCAGGGUUCUCACAUUGGAGGCCUUACUUUUAUUUUUAUUUGCUUAUGAUGGGCUUGCUGAAACCAAGUGCUAAUGAUUGAUGAAGCCUUGGUCGUUCAUUUUAUUUUUAUCAGAAAUGCAUUUGUUGAAAUCUAGGGCUAAUGAUUGAAGAAGCCCUAGUAAUUUGCUAUGUGAUUUUUGCCAUAUUUUGAUCCAUAAUAUGAUUUCGAAACGGAAUCGGAGCUGUGGAAGUUGUAUCGACCUUGCGAACUCGAGUAACUGUGAUCAAAUUAAUCAAAAAUAUUUUUCCAGCUAGUAUUAGAUUAUAAAACUCAAUAUUUAGUGUUUUGACUGAAACUUUCCAACCCGAUAAUUUCCUUUAGCUCAAACUAGCCUUGAUAGCUGUAGUAAAUAAGUUCUAUAGCUUUUGAAAACCCUAAGUCUUACUUUAUUCCUUUUCUUUUCAUUAAAUAUUGCAAUUGGCUAGUUAACUAUAGGAAAAGUUCCAAAAUACGAGUUUUACUAAUUUUAGUGAAAAGCCUGGGAAACUUGCUCGGCAAGGAACCCUAUUUUAGGAAAAAUAGUUUUUAGGGAUAAUUUUUGCAAAAGCCGUAACUUUAAAGAAAUGUUCAAAGUAACUUUCUAACAUUGAUAUUGAGAGGUUUGUUGACUUAUUCAAGAAAAUAAUACUAGUUACCCUUUUAUAAGGAAAAGUAUCUCAAGGAAAACUAUAGGAAACAUUUCUUCUACUUUUGUCAAGUUUCAACCUAAAGAGAUUCUUGAUUUUUCUAAGGGAAGGUAAACUAGUAGUAUAUUAGAUAUACCUCGAUAUGUAUAAGCUUAAAAACUGAGUAGAAACUUAUAGUUUCAAAAUUUGGUUUUUAGGAUAUAGCGAGGACGCAGACUUUGAUUCCCAGCUUGAUCAGUAACUUCAAUUUUGGUGAGUGUCCCUGCCUAUUCUAUGCUUACCUGCUUAAAGUACCUUCUUGACUUGAUGUGUGAUAAGUUGAAAAAUUGGUUUCUGAUCCAUCGAAGUGAGCUGUGUGUAUUUUAUCGCACUAGCCGUUCGAGUGGUGACUUGUGCAAAAACAUUUUUCUCCUGAAACCAUAAAUCUAAAUGUAGUUGCGUCGUUGGGUGAAUCCCUCGACUUCUGUAUCCAACUACCAUAAAUCUAAAUGUAGUUGCGUCGUGGGUGAAUCCCUCGACUUCUGUAUCCAACUACCAUAAAUCUAAAUGUAGUUGCGUCGUUGGGUGAAUCCCUUGACUUCUGUAUCUAACUACCGUGACGGGUAUAUCUCGAGUAUACCACGUCCUUAGUCGGUGAGCGGGCCCGGGACAGGGGUAUGAAUGGUGACGGGUUAGGUAUCAAAAUGAGACGCUCUACAUGGAUUAUAAGUAGUGAGAGUUGACGGAGUGUCAACUACGAUAAAUGGUGAUCAAGCGAGGAAAAUGGCUCCUGAGAGCCCACGUAUCCUACCUUGUGCUGUUAUAGCUUUCUUAUCUGUUUAAAUUGGUUCGGUUAUUAACCGCUGUUUGUUAUUACGUGAUUGCAUGUUUUGGGGCACCACUGAGCUUUAGCUCACCCCACGUUUAUUGUUUUCCUUAACAGGUUCUGGAAACUGAAAGCUGGAUGCUUAUUUAUGUUUUCCUUUUGGGAUUGUAUUUGAACACUAAUACUUAUUCUGUGGGCUGUAAUGUGUUACUUGGGAUAAUGUAUUUUCCUUUUUGGAUUGCCACUUGAAACUGGAAAAUGGGUAAACCCUAAUUCGAUUUCUUGGCUUGUAAGUUUGUAUUAUGGGUUUAUGUAUUUAUCUAUUCAGUUUGUUACGAUUUUAUACCUUGGUACGUAGUACGUAGGACGUUUAAGGACCUCGACUGGUUAUUUUUAUCACUGCUAUCUCUGAAGUUAAUUUGGCUUUAGGUAUGAUUCUAUUCGGAAAAAAAAAAUUGUUUUGUAAUAGAUUAGUUUAUUCUUUGAAAGGUUUUGGGUUAGAUUGCUUGCGUGAGUCCUGGCGAGAGCUGGGCAGACGGUCCGCCAACCCUUUGGUUCGCCUCAGGGGGAAGUGGGGUCGCCACAGGUGGUAUCAGAGCUCCUAUCGAGCUCAAACCGGGAAAAGGUUCUCGGACCAUGGGGGAAAGGCCUAUUAAGUGUUGAACUAAUUACUAUUGCUAAGGGAAUUAGAUAUGUAUGUUGGGUAGGAAUCUCAAAUAUAGGUGAUUCAUGCUUGGGACUGGCCAGCUUGAGUUGUGAAUCACCUUAUUUUCGGAUUCUUGUACCCGAGUACGAAAUAUUACAUUUAAUGGAGUAUUUGCAAUUGAAAAGAAUUAAGUAUAUCGUAUUAUGAUGUGACUAGAAAUCAUGAUUAAGUUUGGAAAAGUAGAACCGAAAGCAACAAGUUUAGCUUUUGAAAGUUAAAAGGGGAAGAGCCAAUAGUGAGACCUUGAAGAUUAGUGCCAAUUUUGCUUUUGAGAUGAAUUUGCCAUGUGAGAUGACUUCUCGAUGACAUUGUGGUCUUUAAGUUUUAUUGGAGGAUUAUUGGGGCUAAUGUUCGAAAGGAUAAAGAUAACUAGUUGUUAGGAUAUUAGAAAAGCCAAUGUAUGAAAUGUUUGAGAUCAUUUAGAAUACUUAAGAGCCACUGAUGUACUUAGGUAAUGAUCAUAUUAUUUGAUUUGAUAUUCGAUAUAGUAGAUCUACAAGUUACUAAGGAAAUUUGAUUAGUGUUACUAAGAGGGUUUAGUGGGAUUGUCCAGGACUAAACUAAUGAAGGUUAAGUUGAAUCUAAACUAAGGGUUAGGCUAUUAGCUAUGUGGUUAUAAUAAAUUGUGUAUUGUUGUAUUGUUUCCUUUCAUGCUUAUAAAGAUUGAAGUUUGAGUUAUGUAUGAAAAUAUUGAAUGUAUUCGUGAAUUAUCUAGCUUUUGAAGUUGUAUGAAUUCGGUAUGCAAUGUGACUUAUAUUUUGAGUAUAUAAUUUGAUGAUUACGUGUUUAAUUUUUGUAACGCUGUAAUAUUGAUUAGUCCCGGGGAUUAAAUAAUUACUAACCUGAGUGAAUUUUAGUGAUCAAAGUGGUGUAUAGAACUAUGAGAAAAAAAAAUAAAUUUAAAAAAAUUAAAAAUAAAAAUAAAAAUAAAAAAUAUAUGGAGUAGGUGGUGAUUAUUAGGGCAAUCAUGUCUUGGUAAAAUCGUUGUAGUUUAUGAGUUAAAGAAAUAGUUAUCGUAUCAUGUAUACAAGUUGUUGAUGUAACCAUUAUUAAUAACCAGAAUUAGGAAAGGGUAAGAACAUGAAUAAAAGUUAAAAGUUAGUAAACUCGAUCUAUUUAUCAGCUCAUACCUUUAGAAGAAAGGUUAGACCAACGUUGAAACAAUGACUUGAUAGAUCCAGUGAAUAAAAAAAAAAAGAAAUAAACUGAACUUUUGUGAAUAAAGGUAGGAAUUUCAAGGAUUUACCAACUCUAUUACGGAUAGGAAUCAAUAGGAUGGGAUGUUGGAGUCGGAACUUUGCCAUGUUUGGAUAUUGAAUGCACUAAAAAAAAAGAUUUGUUUGAUUUCUGAUUAGAGUGUACUUGAGCUUGAUAUAUGUUGCAAUUAACUUUGUUCUGUGAUGUAAUUAAAUUGAUCAUGAAUUUGCUUGGUAUUAAUGAUAUAUAUGGAGUGAAAUUAACCGCAAUCGUGUGUAUGCAUAAUUGGUUAUUACUUAUUUUAAAUCAACUCGUUGUGAGAAAUAUAGCGCCUAGGGAGUGAUAAUGUCAGAGUGAUAAUGCUAUCUUGGGUGAAAAUUUUUUUUUUAAUUGAGUAUGACGCGCAGAUAAAUUGUAAAUUCAAGUAGUUGAACUUUUAUAUACUUUGGGGAGGCAGUCGAUUCGACACUUAAAUUACGGGGAAAACACUAAGACCAAAUUCCUUUAGUUAAGGUUUCGUGGCAAACAUGAAUGAUUAAACGAAGUGAUGUGGAAAUGGAAGAUAAAAUACGGAAAGAAUACCCGGAAAUCUUUAUGAUUAAAAGUGUGAAAUUUUGACUAUCAAGAUCAGAACCAAUUUCUUUUCUUCUUGUCCUCCAUUCGAAUAACCAUUUUAUUUAUAUAUGUAUAUAGACCACAAUUUUUCCAAAGGUGUAUUUAAUAUCCUGUUAUUAGUCACAAAAGGUACGUAAAAUUUUGAAAGUUGAGUUUUUAAUGAUGUAUAAUUGCUUCAGGAGCUAAUGGUAGACAGACUUCGACAAAGAUGCUAUCAAUGGGAAUUUAGAAGGAACCCACCCACGUAGCUACCCCUAUUGACCAUAUGACUGAUACCUUAGAACGGUUGGUGGAGUACCAAAAGCUUUAGGCCAAUCAACUAACCUAGGAACCAAAAGAGUUGCGAAAAUGGAGUGACUCUUGAAAUUCGUCUAUCUAGGUUUCAUGGGGAAAUCUGACCUCAAAAUAAUAAGAAUGAAUCGAAGGAAUACAACAAGGCUCUAGUGAGAAUCAGCAGUAUGACUGUUGUUUUAAACAAUGUUGAAGGUAAGUAUUGAAUAGUGCACUAAGACAUGAAAUUUUUCUUUGGGAUAAGGCUUCCUUAUUCUAUCGUGAUAGUGAUUAACGAUGGUAAUCUCGGUGACACUUAAGAACUCGCUGGAUUAAGCAGGAAGUAGUAAGGUUUAUAUUUUGGAGUAACCAUCAGUAAAAGGAUGAAAGAGUAGUACGGCUCAAGCUUCCAGUAUGAAUAGUUGCUUACUUCGAUCCUGUGAUUUGUCUGGCAGGCUAGCUAUUUGAUUUAAGCCAACUAGUAAGAUGACAACUUUGGAAGACAUGCGUAAGGAAAUGGACAUUCUCCGAAGUGAGGUAGAAUUUCAAAAGAAAUUGGCUGAUUACUGGGAAGGACGAUGGAAACAAGAAUAUGCAGAGAAAAUUGAGCUACUACGCCAAAAUGUAGAACUGGAGAAGGAAGAUAAAGAAAACUCUCAAAAUAGCCAGGCCACCACUUCUCAUGCAAAAUAUGGGUAUUGUAGGAAAGCUGGUCAUACCGAGAAGGAAUGCUGGAAAAAGGGAGGAAAGUGCUUGAGGUGCGGUAGUACCAAGCACAAGAUUUCGGAAUGCCCUAGAGCAUUUACAAAGAGAAAGUACUCAGCAGAUAACUAAGUCUGCUACAGAUCGACCAAGUGCCAGAUGAAAGUAAUUCGUGUUAAUGACCACGAACGGGGUCCUAGUAGUGAAUGUUUCACAAAUCAAGAGGGUUUGACCUCACUCGAGGAAUAGAGGUUAUAGUUACCCUAAACUAGAAUAGCACUUUUGGAGUUUGAGAUCUUCCGCUAUGAAUUAUAUGUACGCUGCGAAUUGUAUGUACACUAUGAAUAUCCUUUAUUUUAGUUACUUUGCUAUUAGAAAUAUUCUAGAAUAGUGCAAUAUAUAUAUAUAUAUAUAUGAAUCAAAUAUACACGAUAGGUAUAUUGUAAUUUGAGCAAUUUGAAUACAUUAUAUAGUUGAAUAAAUUACAUGACUAAUUAAAUCUUCUUAAAGCCAAACGGGUGGAAACCUACUAAAUUGAUAUAAGCAAAAUUUUUCGAGGUACACAUAAAUUAGAACCAACGAAAUUUUUAGUCAACGCGUGAGACAAUAAGAAUAUGGCCUUGUAGCAAAUAAAUGAUCUAAAACGAAACGACCGAACUAAUCUUGGGAACUAGAAGAAAUGCAAAAAGUACCCCGACCUAUCUCUUGAGAAAGUAAGAAUUUUGAGGACAAAAUUCAUUUUAAGGAGGGGAAGAUGUGAGAACCCUGAAAAUAGACAUAUAAAUAUCAGUGCAUAUUUUAUUUGCAUUUUAAUUCUUUAAUAAAUUUUAGCACUAAGUCCAAUUGUUUUUAAAUAAGUACGUAGAAAUAAACGUUAGGUGCAAAAUAAAAGAAUUGUGCUAAACUACUAAACUUCUUAGUUUUGUUACAUUAACUUCAUAUUUCAAUGGUAAACUAUUUCAUUGAUCUAAUAAUUAAUUUCUUUGAAUUCUAGUAUUGUAAUUAAUUGUUUUGAAAUAAAAGUGUAAAGAUAAUUUCUAUGUAAUAAAUAAUAUAAUUGUGCCAAUAUUGAAUUAUUCGGUUUUGCUAUACUAAAUUAAUAUUUCUUGAGUUGGAUUAAUUCUAUUACUUUAAAAUAAAUUCUUUGAUUUCCGAUAACUAGUUUUAAUCGUUAAUAAUGUUAAAUGUUAAUAGAAAUUUCCGCGUUAAGAUGAAAAUCAAUGAAUUUUAGAUAAAUAUGAUACUAAUAUACUAAACAUACUUAAGGCGUGAAAAUUUCGAUAAUUAUAGUCUUAUCCUUCUUUGUUUUCACAAUAAGUGCGUAAAAAUAAUUUUUAUGUGCAAACUGACACCCUUGGAUUAAAUUAUUGUUUCACUUGACUUUAUAUUACUAAAACGAUAAAUUUCGAGUUAGAUUAACUCUAAUUCUUGAGAUAUAAUAAUUGGAAAUUCUAAUAACUAAUUCAAUCGCUAAAUAAUAUAAGAAUUACUAGGAACCUUAAUAUUCAAGUUUAAUCGAUUAUUAUUCGAUAAAAAUGGUUUAGGUAUAUUAGGAUAUGAUUAGACGUUCAAACCACACUUGGGGAUAAUUUUUAGAAUUAAGUCGGAAUUGAGAAGUUAAGUAGAGGUUAGGAAGAAAAGUGAAAAGACUAAAAUGCCCUUACAACCACAACAUUUCCCUGCAAAACCAAACAAUCGCUCUGACCGCAAGUUCAAUUACCGCAACUAUCACCAAUUCUAUACGCAAUCGAUUCUAAUACACGAAACCUCUACUCCUAAAACCGCGGCACCGUAUACCAUUCUUUCUAUUUCACAUCUCAAACCACAUUUCCAUUUCUGCCGAAGUGCAAUCUUUUCCCUCUACACAUAUACUCAACCUCCACUACCGCAAAUCACUUCAUUAUUCCAGCCUCUACCACAACUACUCCACACCAUUCUUCCUCACCUCGUGAUCAUCGACCAGGAGAGAGAGAGAGAGCUACACUCUGCAAGCCGAGAGUGAGAGUGAGGGAGAGCCGAGCUUCUUGUUUCUUUUCUUUCUGUCCGUAAGCUAGAGAGGGAAGAGAGGGACUUGCGAUCCAUUCUGCCUUCUAACCGUGAGCUGGUGAAGGGACUGAGGGCUGAACUUUCUCCAUUCCAGCCGCCACCCAGAGCAAGGGAGAGAGAGAGCUAGUGGUCUGCAUUUUCUGGGCUGCCGAAGGGAGGAGGAUUAUUUCUGCUGCUAACCGUGUGUGUGAGCUCCAUUUGAGGUAACUUCUGAGCUGAAAUUAGUUGGUUAUAGGCAAGUGAGGUCAGCUAUGGACUUGCAUGUGGUGCUUGUGAGGUUAGAUGAGGAUUUGUGACUUAAGAAAUCUGAUUUGGAAAAGAAUUAAAGCUGUCGAAAGUUUGAAGCUGGAAUUGCAGCUUGUUUCUGGAAAUUUGCUGGAAAAUGGUUGACUUUCACAUGGGUAGGUGCUUGACUAAUUAAAAUCAGAAGGUUAAGCUUUGCAUGAAAUUAUCAGACCGGCUAAGCAAGAGAAAUAAAAUAAAAAGAAACCGAAUCUGCUACAUGCAUGUUUCAUCCGAGACUUGUUGGAAAAUUCUGGAAUUGUGGAUGAUAGUAGUUGCUGUCCGAACUUGAUUUAAACCAGAGCUGAUAGUAAUUCCAUUAAUUAGUCAUGCAUGUUGGUUUUGAGUACUUAAUACAAGGUUUUAACUGAAGAAAAUCCAGAUUUGCGUCUAACUUAGCUGCUGGAAAUUUUCUGGAAUAGCCGAGAGACUUCAUGUUUGUUUGCAUUUGUAAUUGCUGUCAAAUGGAAAAUUUUGUUAUGAAUUGCAUAUAGAUUGUUAGCUUUAAGUAUUAAGUGAAGCUUAAUGGAAGAAAAUCUGAGGAAAAGUUGAAUUGUGGAUUGAAACCGAGGGAAAUUUUCUGCUGCAAAAUAUUCCAGCUUGGUCGAGAGAAGGAAGUGAGCAUUUAAUUAGUUUUGUUUUCGAAUUUCAAUUCAGAUUUUCGUAUUGGAUGUUUAAGAUUUGCUUGAGGCUUGCUAAUCACCUUUUGCAUGUUGAGCUGAGGUAAGAAUUGAAGAAAACUAGGAACAAAAGCUAUAUAAAUAAACUAUCAAUUGCUGGCAAAUUUUAUCUUAGCUGAUGACAGAUUUAUGGGGACUUUUUGGUGGAAUAAUUUAUUGGAAUUAAGCGUUAUUUGCUUUGAUAUAUGCUGGUAUGAAUGUCAUACUUAAAUGUAUGAUGGUUUGAAUAAGAGUCUUAUGGUUUUAAAAGAGGAAAAGGAGUUUUUCACAAGUGAAAAAUGAGUUUCCUGAUUUUCGGAUUUCUCUGACCAGUCUCAGUAAAAUGCUUAUAUCUUGGUGUAGGAAAAUCCAAUUGAGGUGCCGUCAGUGGCAUUUGAAACUAGAGUCAUGGGUCUUUGUUUUGUAGAAAUUUCAUAUUUUUCCUCCAUGUGUACUGCUGUCCGUGAUUCCUCAAAGUAGGCUGUCCUGUUUCCUCAGGAAACUGAAUUCUUGACUUGGAUAGAAUAUUUGGCCCAUUUGUGAUUUGAAUCUCUGAAAAGUGUCUUCUGGGAUGUGAUAGUAUUAAAAAAUCUAUUCUACAACAGUAUAAUUUUCAUAAUUGUUUGAUUUGUGGAACAUGAACUAAAGCAAUUUUUGAAGGAAAAUAUUUUUCCAGCAUGACCGAACUGGUUGGGACUUUUGGUGAGUUUAUUUGCUGGAUUUGUGUAUUAUUUACUUUAGCUUGGUUUGGACAGAUUAUAAUCUAUAUGUAUAGUGAUUCUAGCAAAUAAAAGUGGAAAGUUUAAUGGAUAUUUUAGAUUCUUGGAAUCAUUUGGAUCUCAAGUUGGUUAUAGUUUUUGUUCUUGUUUUGAAUGAAUUGGUAUUUGAAAGUGUGUAUUGGUUGUCAAGAGCUAAUGAUUGAUGAAGCCCUUGGCCAUUUGAAUGAAUUUAUAAGUACUACUGGAUGAUGAAAGUUAAUUGCUGGAAUGUCUUGGAGGCCUUACUUUUAUUUUUAUUUGCUUAUGAUGGGCUUGCUGAAACCAAGUGCUAAUGAUUGAUGAAGCCUUGGUCGUUCAUUUUAUUUUUAUCAGAAAUGCAUUUGUUGAAAUCUAGGGCUAAUGAUUGAAGAAGCCCUAGUAAUUUGCUAUGUGAUUUUUGCCAUAUUUUGAUCCAUAAUAUGAUUUCGAAACGGAAUCGGAGCUGUGGAAGUUGUAUCGACCUUGCGAACUCGAGUAACUGUGAUCAAAUUAAUCAAAAAUAUUUUUCCAGCUAGUAUUAGAUUAUAAAACUCAAUAUUUAGUGUUUUGACUGAAACUUUCCAACCCGAUAAUUUCCUUUAGCUCAAACUAGCCUUGAUAGCUGUAGUAAAUAAGUUCUAUAGCUUUUGAAAACCCUAAGUCUUACUUUAUUCCUUUUCUUUUCAUUAAAUAUUGCUAUUGGCUAGUUAACUAUAGGAAAAGUUCCAAAAUACGAGUUUUACUAAUUUUAGUGAAAAGCCUGGGAAACUUGCUCGGCAAGGAACCCUAUUUUAGGAAAAAUAGUUUUUAGGGAUAAUUUUUGCAAAAGCCGUAACUUUAAAGAAAUGUUCAAAGUAACUUUCUAACAUUGAUAUUGAGAGGUUUGUUGACUUAUUCAAGAAAAUAAUACUAGUUACCCUUUUAUAAGGAAAAGUAUCUCAAGGAAAACUAUAGGAAACAUUUCUUCUACUUUUGUCAAGUUUCAACCUAAAGAGAUUCUUGAUUUUUCUAAGGGAAGGUAAACUAGUAGUAUAUUAGAUAUACCUCGAUAUGUAUAAGCUUAAAAACUGAGUAGAAACUUAUAGUUUCAAAAUUUGGUUUUUAGGAUCUAGCGAGGACGCAGACUUUGAUUCCCAGCUUGAUAAGUAACUUCAAUUUUGGUGAGUGUCCCUGCCUGUUCUAUGCUUACCUGCUUAAAGUACCUUCUUGACUUGAUGUGUGAUAAGUUGAAAAAUUGGUUUUUGAUCCAUCGAAGUGAGCUGUGUGUACUUUAUCGCACUAGCCGUUCGAGUGGUGACUUGUGCAAAAACAUUUUUCUCCUGAAACCAUAAAUCUAAAUGUAGUUGCGUCGUUGGGUGAAUCCCUCGACUUCUGUAUCCAACUACCAUAAAUCUAAAUGUAGUUGCGUCGUUGGGUGAAUCCCUCGACUUCUGUAUCCAACUACCAUGACGGGUAUAUCUCGAGUAUACCACGUCCUUAGUCGGUGAGCGGGCCCUGGACAGGGGUAUGAAUGGUGACGGGUUAGGUAUCAAAAUGAGACGCUCUACAUGGAUUAUAAGUAGUGAGAGUUGACGGAGUGUCAACUACGAUAAAUGGUGAUCAAGCGAGGAAAAUGGCUCCUGAGAACCCACGUAUCCUACCUUGUGCUGUUAUACGCUUUCUUAUCUGUUUAAAUUGGUUCGGUUAUUAACCGCUGUUUGUUAUUACGUGAUUGCAUGUUUUGGGGCACUACUGAGCUUUAGCUCACCCCACGUUUAUUGUUUUCCUUAACAGGUUCUGGAAACUGAAAGCUGGAUGCUUAUUUAUGUUUUCCUUUUGGGAUUGUAUUUGAACACUAAUACUUAUUCUGUGGGCUGUAAUGUGUUACUUGGGAUAAUGUAUUUUCCUUUUUGGAUUGCCACUUGAAGCUGGAAAAUGGGUAAACCCUAAUUCAAUUUCUUGGCUUGUAAGUUUGUAUUAUGGGUUUAUGUAUUUAUCUAUUCAGUUUGUUACGACUUUAUACCUUGGUACGUAGCACGUAGGAUGUUUAAGGACGUUUAAGGACCUCGACUGGUUAUUUUUAUCACUGCUAUCUCUGAAGUUAAUGUGGCUUUAGGUAUGAUUCUAUUCGGAAAAAAAAAUUGUUUUGUAAUAGAUUAGUUUAUUCUUCGAAAGGUUUUGGGUUAGAUUGCUUGCGUGAGUCCUGACGAGAGCUGGGCAGACGGCCCCCCAACCCUUUGGUUCGCCUCAGGGGGAAGUGGGGUCGCCAUAUAAUCUAUCAAGUCUGACAUCACCACGAACCAUGCCAGGGAGCAUUGAAAAGUAUAAAAAUACAAGUCUUUUGUAAUUCAACCCCUGAUAGGUCGCAAUUUUGUUAGUUAUUUUAUAAUUCAUUUCAGCUAUUACCUUACCAGAUGGGGAUUAAUUAUCAGAUUCUACUCAUUUUUAGCAUUUGUGUUUAUUGCAGCGAGUUGGAGCAAAAUGGGGUAAAUAGGUGCAAAUUUCGCACUACAAAUGUUGUUUGGCGUGGUCGCGUCAACGCAGGUCUUAACAUAUCCAGAAGGUGUGAGAAAGACGUGUGACACCAACUGCCAAUUGGAAGUGCAAUGUGGGAGCCGCAAUUAUUCCAUUAGUUGGUUAUUUGAUUUGAAUUAACAGGAGUAGUUUUAGCAUAGAAAGGAAACUUACUUAUUUAGUAAGUUUCCUUAUUUUUGUGUGGCGGCUCAAUAGGAAAGAAAAGUCAAAGUUUGAUUAGGACUCUAAUUCUAGUGCUUUUGGAGUAGGGCUGGCCGCAAGGUAAAAACAGGUAACAAAAAUAGCUUAUGAAGGGUUGUUCUUGACUUUGCUGUUAUUCCCGAAAGGCUCUGGCCAGAGGCUACGAAGAAGACAUUAGCAUUCCCUUUGACUUUGUACUUUUUCUCUUAUUCUUAAUUGUUCGAAUUUCUUCAUCAUAUGGAGAACAAUGUUUUCGACAGUUACUUCUAGAAUUUCGCAUGGGAUUUCCUCCAUGAAGAUGAACUAAGUUUCUUCUUCUAGUCGAGAAACAACGGAAGCUUUGGUUCAUCUAAAAAUUGUGAGAUCGAAUUAAUUUUAUUUAUUUCUCUUAUUUACUGGUAUUUGCAUAUUCUCUGUUUGUAAUGUUUAUGGUAGUUUUGUUAAUUAAAUAUCCUGGACCUAGACGUUGAAUUGAUUUAGCAACCUGAUGUCAAUUAAAUCGUUAAAUUCGUAAUUGUUUAAUUGCUCUAAAAUAGUGACAACUGGAAUGAUUAGCUUUGUGUCAGGAAAAUACGCAGGCUAAUCUAAAAUAACCCUGGUAGUGUAUUAUUUGGUUAGUAUAGGGCUCCUCUAAUACAUAAGGCAAUUGGAAAAUUAAAUCUUACGGGCGUACCUAAGAUUAUUUCCCGAUUAGAGUAGCGAUUGACGAGCGUAUCUCAGUCAUCGAAACAGUAAGGAGGAGUUGACUGUCAUCGCUUAUUUGGCAGUUAUAACUUAUUUAUUAAUUAAUAAUUGGAAUUAUCUCUGCAUCAAUGAUCAAUUAGUUGAACCAUUGUUGAAGUUAUUUCCUGACUAGAGCUUAGCUAUUGUUAAUUUGGUUUUAGUAAUUUGUCAUUUAAUCUUUUGUUGGCUAUUUACUUUUAUUCAAAUCGUUUACUUAUUGCCAUUGCUAUAAAAAAUCCCCCCUCGUUAACUUGAACUUUAGUAGAAACGAAUUACUCCCAUUCCCUGUGAAUUCGACCCUACUUGCCCUAUAUACAAAUUAAUAAGUUCUCGUGAAUAAAUUCUGGUAUAUCGGAUUUAGCAAAUUCUUCGGAAUCAGGGUGAAUCUAGUAACCCAUUGCACAUCCAGGGUUCCUACUCUAGUACUAGAAUUGACCCGAAACUACUUUUGUUGGCAACUAGGUUUAUUUUUAUUAUUGUACAGGCAUAGACAACCUGUCAACCCCUGAGUUGGCAAGUCUAUCAGCUGACUCAUUUGCCUCUCUGUAGCAAGGCGAUAUAACUUGGAAAUGAUGCUUGAACCUCAACAACUCCUCCAACUCCCCAUGCAACUCCCACGAACAUGCAAAAGACCCCUGAAUCAUGUUAGCUAAAAUACGUGAGUCAGUUUCAAUAUACAAGGCAUCAUAACCACGCGAUAAACAUUGUUGCACAUUAAAGAUCAAAGAUCAUAGUCUUAAGCUCCACAUAUAAGCUCGUCAAAUUUCCAAAAGAACAUGAGUGCCCAAAGAUGAAAUAACCUUGUCCAUCCCGUACCAAUCUGCCUCCACCACUUGGGCCUAUAUUAUCUCUAGAGCGCCCAUCUGUAUUUAAUUUAUAGCCCACCAUAGGAGCCAACCAUUUAACUAGAAAUACCAAAAUCCUCCAUGUCUGACCAACCAAGAAAGAAUGAAAAACCAUCCAAGAAAAGAAAGAAAACUUCAAUUCUGGGUAUUGCGCAUGAAAAAGCUCCCACAACUGCUGGAAAACUUGACCUGUGAUCUCCACAUAUCCCAAUCUCUUUCCAUCAAAAAUCACGGAAUUUCUUGUCUUCCAUAGCUCCUAGUAAAUUAAUGAAGGGAGGAUGCGAUAAACAAAUGUCAAAUGUACACUUUUUGAUGGACGCAACCACCACAUCAUUGCCAUGUGACGAAGAGUACCAACCGAGGAAAAUUCACCCACUUGGACUGCAAAAGACCUCCAAACCUACCUCACAAGCUCACUAAUACAGAAUACAUGGUCCAAAUCCUCCUCUUGAGGGGUGCCUUAACAACAAAAGCACCUGGAAGGACCCUGUAUCCCAAACCUUCUCAAUUGUUGCAUGAGAGGGAGCUUAAAACAUAACAACCUUAGCAUAGAGAAAGAAAUUUUAAACUGAAUACUUUUGUGCCAGAUACAUGAAAAAAGCAAAGAAGAACUGGACACCCUUCUCACAAGCUUUUAGGCCGAUGAGUAUGAUUGGGAUUUGUUGAGAAUAGUCCAGACCAAUAUGUUAAUGGUUUAAACCAUUGUAAAAAUAUUUGAAGAUUGUGAGCUAAUGGUCUCAUCCAUCACCUUGCAAACCAGGUCCUAAACCUCAAGAGCCAGAUACUGAUAAUUUCACAUCAAAUAGAAGCUCUUUCAAUGGUUAUCAAAUUCCAACCUCAUGGAAUUAUCAAUCUCCAAAAAAGGACCAAAAAUCUCUUCAUCCUUAUUAUCAAAAAUGUCUUGAUAUUUUAGAAAAGGAAGCAAGAGAAAAAACCAAGAAACAAGAGUGGAAACCAAAAUUGAUCCAACCUUCUAGAUGUUCGGAUCAAAAGAUUUUCUUCCCUAUACAAACUGUUGAUGAGUGUUUUAUGUUCAAGGAAGAAGAAUUUCCUCCUUUAGAAUCAUUUGUUAAGAAUGGUUCUAAGCAUACCCCAAAAAUCCAAAAUACUACUCCUAUACUUUUACCUACAGGAGAAACAGUUAGUCCUAGUCUAGCUGAAGAAGUUCUUAAUUGGCAUACAGAGAACUCUCUAGUUCAAAAUGUUGCACUUACUUCUAUUCACAAAAAUGUCACAGAAGUAAGAGGGAAAAUUGAUCAUGUGGAUAUAGCUGUCAAAACUCAGAAUUCAGAAGAAAGAAUUUCAAUUUCCUUUGAUCAUUCUCAUUUCAAAUCUUCAAAGGAUAAUACUCCUUCUAUCUUACUUGCAGAUGCAGAUGUUUCUAUGGAACUCCCUAGUAAAGAAGGUAAACAAUUGGGUUGUUAUGAUGAUAAUUCUGAAAAGGGAUAGGCUUAUUGCAACGUUUUCCUUUCCACUGAUUGCAUUUCAAAUGAAUAUGGGUAUAUCCUUAUUGGUUCCACUACAAAGGAAAAUCAUUCGGAAUAUGUAAGGUUAUAAACUGUUCCUUUUUUGUGGCAGGAAUAGGAUGCUGAUCAACCUUUGAAGCCUAGAACUAGAGAGUUCUCUAUAUGCUAAUUAAGAACUUCUUCAACUGGACUGCGACUAACUGUUUCUCCUGUAGGUAAAACUAUAGGAGCAGCAUUUUGGAUUUUUGGGGUAUGCGCAGAUCAAGUCUCAGAUGCUAUUGCAGCAACUCUACACUAUCAAAUGGUGUAUCGAGGUACAAAAUCAUGCUCUUGAUCUUACCAUAUCUGGUGGUAAAGAUGCUCUUCUUAUCCAUGUAGAUGAGAAAAAUAUAGCAUCCUGUACUCAUGUCCCAAGAUAGAUUUCUAAAUCAGAUUUAAUCUCACUAUUAGCAUCCAUACCACGUUCACAACCUGCCGAACUGCCGCCGGCUCCAAUUGCAAAUUGUUGUCCAUGUGUUGUUCUGUAUCUCUUAAUUUGACCAGAUUAAAUUUGAAACGGGGUAUGGUUCCAUAAUCAUCUAAAACAUUCAUUAUCUUUAUAUCGUUUACAAAUGAUAGCUGGUACUGCUGUGGUGCAAGUCGAUAUUUAAUAUCCGUCGGAAUUGUAUGUAUAUUUUGAAGCCAAUAUAUCUUGCCUUCAAGGAGAUGAUCUACGAAAAUGUUUAUCACAUUAUUGUCUCUUAUAACUCUCUGCAUGAUAAAUUUCUGAUUGUUUCGAAGAGAUUAAUAAAUAUUAAAUGUUCAAUAUAAUAAAUAACAUAUACUCAUAAUUAUUACUUGAUCAUCUGCAAAAAGCAUUUUGAUGCAUCUAGAACGUUGAAAACACUCUAAGUAUGGUCGUAUCUAUUAAUUGAAACAAUCUAUCCUUUACAUUCCAUCUGUGUUCAUAAGGGUCCAAAUAAAAUAAAGAUGUAUAUCGGAUAUCUGUAAAUUGUUAUGAUAUAGCAUAAAGGUUAAUUAUUUAAACACUAUAGCUGAGACAGUAAGUAACACAAAUUGCAAAAAGUACAAAAAAUGCUAAAGUGUGAAGCACCUAUAGUACAUAAAAUAUGAAGCAAAAAUACUAUUCUUUUAUACAAAGUGAUGACCACAAUUAUCACAAGAAGUAAAAAAUCUCACGAUACGCUAUUUUUUGUAUAAUCCCAUAGAUCAUUAUCUCUAUUAACAAUGAGUAUUUUCAACCCAGAUGGUGAAGUAACACGGACAAAAGCAACAUUAAGUUAACCAUGAGAAAACACGGGUUUAGGAAGGUAAACGCCAACAUUUUUCAGUUUUUGACCUUAACUUUUGUUGAUUGUCAUUGCAAAUGCUACUUUCAUAGGAAAUUGUCUCCUUUAAUUGGAAAAUAAGUAUGUGUGCUCUGUGGUGUUAAAGAGAUUCGCAGUAUAAGUACUAAAUCUCUAAUAUUGGAUCCUAUUAAGACUUCUGCCUCGAUGACUUUAUCCCCCAUUUUGGUAAUGGUAAGUCAUGUUUCAUUGCAAAGACCCUCUGACUGAUUGGGAUUUCUCAAAAGAAUUACAGGAGUUCUUUCUUUAACUUCCAAAGAAUGAUUUGGAAGUCCAGAAAAAUUCAAGGAGUGCAACAUUUCAGAAGGAUUCAUAUUUUCAACAAUGUCACCCUUAGUGGUGCAAAAAGUAUCAGCACUCAUGUAGACACAUGAUGGACCAGGAAGCAUUGAUAGCAUCUUAUCAUUCAACUUGUCAACAUCACCAUUUUUUUGAGCCAAAAUAGCACAUUCCUUGAGGUAAUGCUAUUUUUUUGUAUAAAUUUCUCAAAUUUGGAUAGACAGAAUUUAUUAGCCGCAUUAAAGAUUGAUUGUCAUUUUUUAUGGAAAAUUGUGACGACAUCUAUAUCCAAUUUGAUUCCCCAAAUUCAAUAAGUGAAAUUGCUGAAACCUUUCCUUUAUAAACAGAUAGCAGCCAAUUUGCAAAAUCUACCAAUUGCUAACACAUAUUUUCAGAAAGAUGCAAAUCCAUCACACGCAUAUUUGUUUUAAGAUGCAGUACUCUACAGUGAUCCCAAAUCGAUGAUUCUUUUAUUGUAACUGAUAUUAUUGUUUCUCUCCUACCCUUAGAAAUAAUCGAUAAUGUUUGUUAAAAAUCACCACCCAGAACAACUAAUUUUCCUCCAAAAACACGAUCUUCAGAAUCAUUAUCACUAAACUUUAAGAUAUCCUUUAAAGUUCUAUGCAUAGCUUCAAAUCCGUGUCGAUGACAUCUUUGUACUCUCAUAUAAUAACUUACAACAGAUUUUUGCCAAUAACACAUCAAACAAUACGCCUCUCGAUCGCCCUCUAUUUAUGGGAGCUCCUAAACACAUAACCGAAAACUCUUGCAGCCAAAACCCCAACGUUGGUGAAACUAGCAUUCUUUGCUCAUACAUUGCAUCCAAAGAGAUUUAAAAAAAAAACUCUUUUGGAUAUUCACCUUCUACCUCAAAGUAUGCUUGAUAUCUCUCAAAAAAACCCUUGAACGCUACUAAACAAUCCUAAAAAGCCCUGGCAAACAUAAUAAUAUCAUCUAUAAAAGCCAAAUAAGGAACUUGUGACCCAAUUGAAAGACAAAAACGUCUGGUGUCUUGCAAGACUAAUUGAUACAAUCCCCUUCCUAAGAAUUCCGCAACAAGGACAAAUAACAAUGGAGACAAUGGAUCACCCUGCCGAACUCCCCUAGUUGACUUGAAAAAAUUGGAUGGCUCACCAUUAAUCAACACCGUGAACUAAUUAUUGGAGACCACCCUAAAACUAAUCAAUCACUGUUUCCCUAAAGCCAAAUUUCCUCAGCAUAAACAACAAAAAGGACUAUUCCACCUGAUCAUAUGCCUUCUCCAUAUCAAGUUUUAAAAUAAUAUUAAGGUGCACAAGCCUCCUAUCCAGAUCAUGACACAACUCCUUUGCAACUAGAAUAUUAUUAACGAUUUCUUUCCCUAGAACAAAACUAGUUUGCCAUGUAGGCACAAACCUAGGCAAUAACUUCCCCAACCGAUUUGUCAAAAUUUUUGACACGAUCUUAGAACUAACAUUACACAACCUAAUUGGUUGAAACUCUCUCCAAUGGACCGCACCUUCCACCUUUGGAAGUAGAACUAUAGUUGUACUCAAUAUUCUCUGAGGUAUCUGAAUCCCCUUGAAAAAACCAUGCACAGCUGCUAAUAAAUCAUCUCUAAUGAUCUCCCAGCAUGACUGAUAAAAACGUACUCCAAAACCAUUCAGGCCUGGAACACUAUCCAAACUUAUUGAAAAUACAACUUGUUUAAGUUCAUCUGUAGUCAGCAAGCCACUCAAUGUAUCAUUGUCCUCCUUCAAAACCUGUGGUAAUUGAAAAUUUAACUGAGCCUCGCUCUUUCCCUCCCUUUUAGAUUGAAAAGACUUGAAAAGUACUCCACAGCUGAUCGUUUAAUUUCACCCAUACCGUGCAACCAAUUCCCUAAUUCCUCUUUAAUACGGCCAAUAAAAUUCGACCUUCUCCAUUGUUUGCACAAUGAAUGAAAAUAUGAGGUAUUAGCAUCUCCAGUCCAUAUCCACUUCACCACCAAUUCUUUUUUUUCCAAAAUUCACACUCCUCCGCUAGCUGACGCAUGUAAAAGGCACAAGACUAUUCUAAUUGCAUUUUAGUCUCUUCAUUUCGGGUUACAUCAUACAACGCCUCCUUAAGUUUCAUAUCCUUCUCCAUUGCAUUUACAUUAGAAAAAACAUUGCCAAAAACCUCCCGAUUCCAUUGCUGCAAUGAUUUCUUAACAACACAUAAUCUAUUAAAAAACCAUUGCAACCCACAACUCGACACCAGUUUAGCCCAACUAUCAGCAACAAUUUUUAAAAAACCCGAAUGCUUGUGCCAAAUAUAUAAGUACCGGAAAACUAGCUGCCUCCCCUAUUCCUGACUGCAUUUAAUAAAUAAUGGGGUGUGAUCCGAUCUACCUCUUGCCAAAUGAGAAACAUGUGAUAGCUUGUAUGCACUUGCCCAUUCACCAUUGAUAAAAACUCUAUCCAAUCAUUGCCAACCCUAUCCAUUCGUCCAAGUAAAUAGUUGAUCAUCAACACUAACAGAAGGCAAGCCACAUUUAAAAGUAGUCUCAUUAAACUCUUCCAUAUUUUGUUCAUUUGCAGGCUCCUCUCCAACAGGUUCUUCAGUUGAAGAAAUAGCAUUAAAAUCGCCAGCUACAAUCCAUGGGCCCUGCUACCCUAAAGUCACCUCCUUUAUUGCUUGUCAUAAGGGAUGUCUUCCUAUCCUCGUGCAUUUAGCAUAAAUUACCAAAAAAAAAUAUAACCAAACCUGACUGAAACAAAAUUCUCGAAUGAACCAUCUGUACAGCUAACUCAGUAAAAGUAAUAGAGAAUUCAUGAAACCAAAAAAUCUAAAUCUUUCCCUCCAAAAAAGUAUGUGCAAAAUUGAAAAAUUCAUCACAAGUUGUUGUUUGUCUGACACAUCUUGCAUGGGUGGAGAUAGACUGAAAUGGACAGCUUUAAUUCCUAUAUACGAAAUAGAAAAAUCAAUUUUAAAGAACUAGAAAAUUGACAAAGAAAGAAGGGAACAUCAAUGGUUAAAUAAUAAGGAGGUAUAGAACAAGGUUCAUGUGAUAGCCCCACCUUCUCGUAGGGCGUACUCUAAGGGUUAGCGGAAUGCCUGCUCAACUCUCGUUAGGACUCACUAACCCAAAUAUUCCUAGUGAGCACUAAAACGAACAACACAACUUCAAAACAUCACAACCCAGUAUUAUAUACAAUAGAGUCACUAAUGAUUCAAGUUUAGAGUACAAGUCAAAGUAUUCAAUCUUACACGAAUACAUAUGAGGUUUACUAAUACAGAAUAAUUUAAACAAAAUGCCUAAGGUAGUACUAACUCAAACUCUUUCCAAAAUCAUUAGCCAAGUCUUCACCCCUGAAAGGAAAACCAGGAUAACAGAAUAAGUUUUCGUUCAAUGAGGUAUCACAAGGUCAUGCAGUCAGAAAUAAAACAAGAAAACAAAGUCACAUAGAUCAGUCAUUAAGUUAUCAAACAUGGGUACCAAUUUGAAAAGACAAAUGAACACCACAACUAACAUUGAGUGAUUCAGAUAAAAAGAUACAGUUAGUUCUCGGGAGCUAAAUUUCCAGUCGUAGUAGCUUGAUCCAAACCCAUUGACACUCCGUCAACGUUUAGAAAAGUAGAAACAUUGUCCGUAGAUUAUUGCUUUACACCAAUUCCCGUCCACCAUUCAUUCUCCUUAUCGGGCCUGAACACCAAACAGUGAAGGUAAUACUCGAGUAUACCAAAUUUCGAAAUAAAAUUAGAGCUCAGUGAAUCAGUAACAAUUUCCCCAUGACCUGUUAAUCUACCUCGAGCAAACCCUUGUCGGCUUGAUUUGAUUAACUAAUCAAUGAGGAUUUAGGCCCAAGUUCACAAUGUGGUCAUUGGAUAGUAUGUUCCAAACGACAUUUAAUUCAAGCACAAGUGAAUAGUAGAACAAUCAACAAUCAAGUGGAGUCGAGUAUGAUAAGGUACACACCUAUCCAGCCAAGAGUAAACCAAAGUUACAAUCAAACAAUUAUAGCUUUCAGUCACAUACUAGUUCACUUAAGCAACAAGUCAUGUAGGUGUUACACUCACCAGUUCAAAGCAGAGCAAUGUUAAACGUUCAUCACCGGAUUAUUCUCAUUCACCGACAAACCCUAAAAGCAUCCAAGAUAAAAAUAUUAUGGUCCAACCAUCCAAAACUUAAGUGAACCAAGGAAAAAUCCAAGUACAUACUAGGGCAAUGAUUCAAAUAUGGUUUUGGAGUGGAAAGAAAGCAUUUGAACCCAAGAAACAUGAGCAACCAAAGGACAAAUUUUAUGUAUUUAUAACUCAUGAAUCUCAGCAAAACAUACAUAAAAUGUACAUUCGACUUUUGGAAGAAAAACGACCAACCUCAAGUUUAAAGUCGGACAAAUGCAACUAGAAAACAUGUUUGAAGCAACCAUUACUUUCCUCCUUGCAUCAUACAUGAUUUUUGACAAAAAUUCAACUUAUGCGUCACAACCAAGGUGGAUUCAAGCAAUCAUAAGCAACCUAACUCUAAACCGACAAAAAAUCAUACUUCUACCCUCACUCUUACUCACUUAUAUCACAAGAAGAAGAAAAAAAACCAGCAGCAUCUGCCCUAAUUUUCUUAAGUUUCUCUUCCAAAUUCAAAACUUAACUUCAUGGCAAAUCAACCUCAAUCAGAACCACAAUUUACAAGAUAUAAGGGGUACUUGUUCUAGGUCAAAAAACUGACCAAAUGGGACAUAUACCUAACUCAUAUACAACCAUACCAAAGAUGAAAAAUUGAAUCUUAAGCUGAAAUUUACAAACAAAAGUUGAAAAUUUCCAUAGUGAAGCCAAAAGUGCAAACAAAAACUGGAAAUCCUCAUGGCAAGACUAAAAGGACAUGGUAAAGCUAAAAUUAGCAUUUCAAGGCUAGAAUUUCUCAAUCAAAGCUGGAAAUUUCGAACUACUUCACAAAACUAUGAAAUUUGCCAUGAAACCUACCAUAAUCAAGUCAUAAAAUCCAUUCAAGUGCAAGAUAAAAGAGAAAAGGAAGUUUCUUGACAUGAAUACCUUCAAUCCCUAAGGAGAAAUGCAAAUAAGAGCUUUCUUUUCCCCAAAUCACUCCACACAAGCUUUCCCUCCUUCCUUGAUACAACUUCCUACGAAUUGGAUUAGGAUUUUUGUGACGCCCCCACUUCUCCCUAAGGGCGAACCAAAGGGUAUCUGCGGAACGCCUGCCCGCCUCUCGCCAGGACUCAAGACAAUUCGAUUCCAGCUUAAUGAUACAUAACCAUUAAUACAAGUCUAAUAAAGAAAAGUCGCUUCCAUAACCGAAUAUCCAAGUCUCACACCACCAGUUCAAAAUACAACAGUUAUCCAAUUCUUACAUCAGAUCCCCAAAAGGUACAUCAAUUCUCAAAAUGUACAACAACCAAAGUGUCUAGUCAGUUCCAUUGGAAACCCUAAUACAAAAGUACAUCCAAAGAGUAUCUCCGAGUUUCACUCCUUGACCAUUCCUGUAAAGGAAAAUAAAUCUACGGGGUGAGCAAUUGCUUGUGAGACCAAGAAAAAACACAUGCAAGCACGUUGUUCAAGUAACAAUCCCAUUUAACGAGUAAAAUGAUAAUAUUCAAGUAAAUAACAAUUCGAGUUAGAAAAGUAAACAGAAACAAUUCAAGGAUAUAGGAGCUCUUAGGAGCUAUUUUUCUCUUGCAUGAUCAAGAAUCUCCACGAGUUGACAUUCGGUCAAUCGGGUAUGUUAUAGUCCGUAGAACUUCACUUAUCAUAUCCCCGUUCACCGUUACAUACCCCUGUACUGAGCCCGCCUGUCAUUUGUUUGAGGCGAUACUGCUCGAGUAUGCCAAGUAAGACCUAUCAAUAGGUCAAGUUUAUGUUUUCUCAUGGUUUACCAAGGAGCCCGACCAAACCCGUCCCGGCUUGAGUCCAAGGUUGGCCAGUGAGAAUUGGGCGUCCCUCACGAUUUCAAUUAAGAGUCGAGGAGAUUCACUCCAAUCGACUUAUGCAGCCAUAGCAUAAAUAUCACUUAAACCCUUCACUUAAUUCACUUAACAAGUCACUUCAAGUAAUUAAAGUAUUUCAUGUAAAGUAAUUCAAGUACAUUUCACUUCAAUGAGAACGAGUGCGACAAAGUACACACUCAACUUAGCAUUUUCAAAAUAUCCCAUUUUCAAUAAAAAUUAACACAUAACACGUUUUUCACACACUUGAUACUUAUCAAUCAAAACAAAGCAGUAUAGCCCACUUGAGGGUUCAGACGUCCACUGUGGGAUCCUCUUGAAGGUCCUCUUGAGUGCCUGAACAAUUAAUAAUGAACUAUCACACACUAUCACUUAAAAUCCCAAAUUAUCAAGGAAGAUUGUACACUUGUACAAUCUAGGAAAAUAUCACGAAAAUGAGUCUUAAUUUCUCGUAAAUCGAGACUCAAAAGUGGGGCUUAAAUAUACAAGGAAAAUCCAAUUUUCAUCUUUGAAAUCAUUGGACGGAAACAAGUAGGUAUAAAUCAUUUUCCAAACGAAUGAUUGGAGACGGACUUCAGAAGCCACGUCACAAUCCAGCCAAGAAUUGGCCGGAUAUCCGGUCGGAUUGUCAGCUGGAUUCAAGGCAAUGGCAAACCCUAUUUUUUUUUCAAAUUUUCCUACCAAUCCGGCCAACUAUCCGGCCAAGAACUGACCGAAUACACGGCUAGAUUCUUUGAAAACUUUCCUGUACGAAAAUUUUAUAAAAUGGUCAAGAAAUAUCGAAUUUGAGGUGCAUUCUUUGAAAAAUCAUAACUUACUCUCUAUAGGUUCAAAAUUGGAAAACUUGGUACCGUUGGAAACUACUUCCAAAGUACUAAAAGUUCCUAGAAGACACUUUUCUGUGAUUCAAGAUGGAAGACACUCAAAUUUUGGCCUCAAAUUGCUGAUUUUGACUCUUAAGACAGAUUCGGGAUUGGUUUUUGGUAAACUUUGGAAAUUUGGCAAAAUUCACAUAAUACGAACUAGCCUCUCAAAUUUGAAACUCAAUUAGAGUUACAAUGAAGGUUUAAAACAAAAAAAACAGAACAAGAAUCGGAGUUUUGAGUGCCAAAAUAUAGCAGCUCAAAUUUGCUGAAAAUUUCUCGCUGAACAAGGAUUUUCCAGAUUUGAAACAUAAAAUUUGGGACUUUAGUUGAACAUUGAAAUUGAUUGGAAUGGCACCAAAUUUUGUGGUAUUAUCCUACCAUAUAAGGACAAUUCCUCUGACAAAUUUCAUACAAAAAUUCGCACGAAAGGUUAGUUAACAAAGCCACUAAAAUUCCAAGAAUUUCCAAGGCAAAUCUGCUUUGUACUUCCGUUUUCUUUUUUUUUCUAACUUUUGGCCACUGGAAUCGACUCAAAUCUGGUUCAUUUAUGAAUACAAGGUCUAAUAAAAAUCCAAAAUAUGUUUGAUAGGUGGUUCACACCAAGAGUUUCAAAAUAACAAGGCCCAUUCAAGACAAGCCAUUGGCUAGCCCAAAAUUAGGGUUUUCUUUCUUUGAAGUAGGUCUGUAAUUCAGCCACAACUCACUCAAUUCAACUUGGAAUUGGACGUGGUUAGUGGCGUUGGAAACUACAUUUAUAAGGAUACAAUUUCUCAGAAGAAAGCAUUUUAGGAUUCAGUCCAUAGCUAGCUCAAAUUCAAGCAACAAGUUCUAGAACCUCACUGUCUCUCUAACACACCCGUGAAACAGGACAGGUAAUUUGAAGAGCUAGUAUGGCUCACUCAAUUUGAAUCAGAGGAUGAAUUUUAUAGCACUAGAAAACUGGAAAUGUCUAGUUUCAAAUGCCAUAAACAGAACUCGAUUUCGACGUCCGAGCAAAUAGUUAUGACCGUUUGAAUUUCGUUGCCAGAGUAACUCUGGACACGUUUUCCAGCUUUGAAACCUUUUCAAAAAUUUAACUUUUGGCCAAUCAAAUCAAGUCAUUUUUGGUAGAAACUUUCCAUACAACCUAUACAACAUAUCUAUAUCAAAAUCAAGUCAAUUUAACCACAAAAAAAUCGCACCAAAGGUUUGACAAGAACAGGGCAGAUUCGGCCUUUCUUCAUGUAUCACUUCCUUUGAUUUUCUUUUCACUUUUUCCACUUAUCUCUACUAGAUUAACACUUAAUCAACACAAAUAACAUCUAAAAUUAUCAAAUUAGAUAAUCAAGUCCAUUGUGGGAUUUUAUAGAACCCACUCACAUGAUUUUCAACAAUCCAAAACUACCCACAUGAAGCUACAAGCUUCUUGGUGUAAUCUAACUUACAAAAGUUAAGAUUCAAGGGUUGGAUGAUGAUUACCUCCUAGAUAAUGAUAAACUAGAAAAUUUUGGUCCUAAAAGCUCCAAGAAAAUCGUGAGAAUGAAGCUCCUCUCCUAGUCCAAGAUGAUCUCCAAGUUAUUUGCAAGUUGUGGUAUGAAUUUGAAGUGAUUUGGUGAAAGAUUGAGUGAGAUGGGAUGAAGGUUUUUGCUCCUUCUUUGGCUCCAAGUUUCGGCCACAAAGAGAGAGAAAAGAGAGAGUGAAAUCUGAUAAUGAAGCUUCUUGAGGAAGCUUGGUAUGUAGCUUUAAGGUGCACAAAAAUCAACUCUCCAUUCGUGCGUGUACGCUGGCGUUUCGUGCCCGAUUCCUCUCGAGUUUGUUUCACUUGUGCAUUAAACCUCCAAUGUACUUUCUUAAACACUAUUAUUAUCCACUCUUAGUAAUCCAACAAUAAUUUUCUGAAGUCCUUCAAUUCGUCGCGCGCGUGAAAAUGCGAACUUCCGAUUUAUGCGCCAUAAAGUGCAAUUUCUAAUAAAUUCUUGUAACGAUAGUGUAACUAACUAAUACUUGGAUAAAUACUCAUAAAAAUAAAUAUUUUAGAAAUAAAAACAUGAGUUCUCACAUGAGUCUAGUAUUAAUUUCUCAAAUCACCAAUUAAUUUGUACCAGUGCGUCUUUCGAAAAACUUUCGAUGCGGGCAUGGUAUAAGCUUAAUUUUAAUGUACUCACAUCUAAUCUCUCAAUUAACUUUCUUAAUCUACUAUUAAUUAUUCUUAAUUCUCCAAAAAUUAUUACAUUCUCGAUUCAAAUAUAGUCUCGAAAAACGUGUACCCGUUAUUGUUCACUUAAACAAACCUCCAAAAAAUUAAAUUUGCUAAUGGAACGUUUUAAAACAUAAGGAAGACAUUGGUCCAUACGAAUGGAUUUAAAAUGGUUGAAAUAAAUUAUUCGGAGAAAACGGUUGAAUACAUAUUUAAAUAAACCAAUAACAUUCGAUAAAAUAAGAAAAUUUUCGGGUCCUCACAUCCUCCCCUCCUUAAAAGAAUUUUGCCCUCGAAAUUCACACCUAGGACAAUAUCAUUUCCUUAAUGGUUAAGCUUAUCAAAUCAAUCACUAACUUACGUUUUCCAACCCAUACUUCACAAUUUCUAUUCAUCCCACUAGCAAUCAAACCUUGAUUUUUUUCCAAUAGGUAUUUUAACUUCCAAGUCAUAUGACAAUUUAAUCGGUUUCAUGUCUACCUCAUAUAGGAAAUGUCUCUACUUCUUUAAUGCGAAUAUUAUAGCCACUAAUUCCAAAUCAUGAGUUGGUUACUUUCUCUCGUGAUAUUUUAACUUUCUAGAGGCAUAUACAAUCACCUCAUCGUGUAUUAUUAAUAUACAUUCUAAACCAUCCUUUAAAGCAUCUGUAUAAAUCACAAAACUACUUUCUCCGCUUGGUAAGGCUAACACUGGUGGAUCGGUUAAACACUUUUCACUUUUAAAAUUUUUCCUUACAUUUAGAAUCCUAAAUAACUUGCCAAGUCUUGCACUCGUAGAAAGUUCUUGAUAAAUCAAAGGUAAUAUUUGGCUAACUCUAAGAACUCCAAAUUUCGGUAGAAUUUCUUAUUGUUUCCUCUUAAACAGCUUCCAUUUUGGCUGAGUCAAUAACAAUUUCUUCCUUAGAUAUUGUAUAACCUAGAAAGGUUAUUUCUUUCAAUAGAACUCAUAUUUAUUGAAUUUAACGAAAGUUGGCGUUCUCUCAGGGUUUGUAAAAACUAUCAUCAGGUGUCUUUCAUGAUCUUCUCAAACAUCAGAAUAUACGAAUAUCAUCAUCAAUAUGACACCACAGGUUAAAUCCAAAUAUGUUUAAAAUCCUGAUGCAUUAAGGCCAUAAAUGCUGCUACUGCAUUAGUCAGCCAAAAAGGUAUAAUUGAAAAUUCAAGUGUCCCUAUCUUGAAUUGGGAGCGGUUUAAGCACAUCAGUUCCUAGGAUUCCCAAUUGGUAAUAUCUCUAUUUUAAAUCCAACUUGGAUAGUAUCACGGUUCUUUGCUAUUGAUCAAAAUUCUCGUCUAUGUGAGGCAAUGGAGUAUUUGUUCUUAAUGGUCAUCUCGUUCAAGUCUCGAUAGUCUAUAUAUAGCCUCAAGCUUCCAUUCCAAGUAUGAUAUCCGAUCCCUUAAUCGUUAGACUCAUUAAAUCUAUCAAAUAUUUCCUUUCACCAACUCAAAUCUCAUAAUUUAAUAUAUUAAUUUGACAAUUAAAUAUUGGGUCCCAACUUCAACACCAAGUUCUUGAUUUGGUCCCGAUCCCUAGUCAUUUCUAAGACCUCAAGUUUGUCUACGCUCUCAAGUACAAUUUCGAUCACGUCUACUAUCGUUCAUGUCUUAUUAUCAAUCUAAAGGUGUAGGGCAAAGUGCAACGAUACACAUAAGCCAUUAAAUCAAUUAAAAGCAAGGUAAAUUUUCAUAUUUUAUAAAAGAUUAUAAUAGUUACAUCAAGUUGGAAUAGAUUUAUCAAAUCAUUUCAAAAGAAAAGGGGAAACAACAAGAUUAUAACAAAACGUACCAAGUUGCCAAGAUACAAAAUAACAAAAGACUUUCCCUUAUGCAAAAGAUUAAAUCUCCAAAAGUACCAGUCUAGUCUAGGGUAAAAUUACAACCUCUAUCCCUCGAGUGGGGUUAACCACCCCUACUCGUAAAAACUUCCAGUGCUUAGACCCCCUUCUGGCACUCGAUUGCUUGGUGGCGGAUCUAGUUGGCCGUUGAGUAUUUCCUCUUUUUAGAGGUAUAAGGGCAAUUCGAAAACUUAUGCUCAGUACUACCGCAUCUCAGACACUUUCCUUGCUUUGGCUAGCACUUGGCCUCAGUGUGGUUCUGUAGACACCAAAUUUUUGUCAAUUUUUAAUAUUUUCUCAAGAUUUUUCUAUUUAAUGAAUUAUUUAUUUUCUAGCAUUUUAAUGUGCAUUUUUCUCAUUUUUGCAGGUUUGCUUUAAAAAAAAAAAAAAAAAAAAAAAAAAAAAAAAAAAAAAAAAAAAACAAACAAACAACAAAAAUAAAAUAAAAGUAAAAAAAAUAAAAAAAAUCAUCAUAAUCAUUUUCUCUACCAAAACCCCUAUUAACCCAUUCCACACUCAAUUGCCAGGCACCUUUCUUUUCAUUGGCAGAAGCUAUCAUUUGAAAAAAAAUCCUACACACAAGCCCCAUUUUUUUUUUUUCCUACAAGUCCCUCUCGAUUCUCUGCUCUCUGGACGGACCAUCAGGUCAGACAGAAGAAGAAAAAAAGACUCCAACUCUCACUCUGACUCUGGGCUCUCUCCCUCUCGGUUCCUUUUUCUUUUUUUUUGUUUCUCCCAACACACUCACACACAACUUAAAACAACAAAAGGAAGCAGCGAUCGGUUAGGCUAUUUGGAGCUUGGCAAAUUUCAUCACAAACUUUGGCCAAGGGACCAAACUCCUCAUUGAGGUAUUAUUAUUAUUUUUUUUCCAGCUUUUCAUUUUAUUAACUAAUUAGAUUAAAUUCAUGUUUUGCUAUCUAUUUGUCUCUUUCUUUUAUUGAUGUUGUUGUUAUGUGGUGUUGUUGAAGUUUUGGGGUAAGCCAUGUAUGAAAUUAAAGGAAAAAGAUGAUUUCUUGUGAAUGCAUGUUAAUUGUUUGAAAAAAUGCCAAAAAGAAUUUUAGGGACUGUUUUGAUUUAAUGCAUCCUUUUGUUGUUGUUUACUUGUCAAACUAAGAUUAUAGUUGUAUUGUAGAAGUUAUCAGGAGGGUUUUGGCAUAAUUUUUAUGAUUUUUGGUGAAGAUUUGAGAGUUUUAAAAAAUAAAAACUGAACUGAUUUCUUGGCAUUUUGACCACUUUUGGGUCAUCUUUUGUAAAAACUAACUUCAAAAAUGGAGUCUGCGCGAAAAAUGGAGUGGGGAGGUGUAUUUUGAGAAAUUUUGGCGACUGGAGAAGUCGCCGGCGACCGCCGCCGGAGGUGGUGGCCGCGGUGGCGCUACCGGCGGCCACCAUGGCCGCCAACUGGAGUGAGCUUCGGAUGGCCAGAGGAGAAGAAGAAACGAAUGGGGAAGAAAGAAAAGAAAGAAAAGAGAAGAAAGAAAAGGAAAGGAAAUUGGGCUGAUGUUUAUUUUUCUGAUGGGCCAAGAGUUAGUUUUGGUUGGGUUUUGUAAAUGGGUUUUGGUUUUGUUUCUUAAUUUCGGUUGGGCUAGAAGGUCAGAGCCCAUGCCUUUAUUUUGGUUGGGUCUGAGUGAUAGAAGACGGGCUGGCAUUGUGUUUUCGCUUGGACUUUCGGCUGGGCUUAGGUAAUGUUUGGCCCAAAGAAAUAAAAAUGAUGGCCCAGUGGCCUGUUUUCUUAAGAAGAUCUGAUAACGAAUUUGCACUUUAACCCCUGAUCUUUGGAGUAGUUUCACUUCGGCCCAGAACAUUUUGAUUUCUUUCACUUUGGUCCUUAUAGUAAUUGCAUUUUGGUCCCUGAAUUUUAUCUUUUAUUUAAUUUUGACCUCUGAACUUUAGAAAAAUAUAAUUUUUAUCCCCAAAAGUUUUUCAAUUUUUGCAAUUCAGUCCCUAAUGAAUUUUGACUCUUUUUUAUUGUGAUUGCUUCUUUUCUUUAAUAGCUAAUUAUGUUACUUUUGAAUAUAUUUAACUUGCAAUUUUUAGAUGUUCUUAAAUUUCUUUGCGUUUGACGUGUUAAUGUGAAUUUAGUGUUUUAACAUUAUUAUUAUUUUCAAUUAAAGUGGUGCCAUGAUUCUUUUGUUCAUUGUGAGUAUAAAUAGGACAAUUUGACUCCAUUUAGUCACCACUUCAAACGGGAGGUACCCCUAUUUUUAUUGUUUCAAUGUCAAUUAUGUGCUCUCAUGUGCUCCUAUGUGCUCCUAUGUGUUUAUCUAUUUUUAUAUGUUUUAUUUAUUGCAUUUAAAUGUUCAUUUAAAUUUUCUUAUAUUAUAUUCGUUUAGUUAAUUUUUUAUAAUGAUUCAAGAGGCAUUUAAUUACCUCAAAAAUGUAAUAGAUAGGAUAAUUAGAUUUGUUUUAUUAUAUUUUUCCCUUCUAAAUUGUAGUUGGGCGCUCCCCGAUGUAAUAGAUAGGUUGCGUGUUUAUGUGGCUUAUGUGUUAUGUGUUUUAUCCGCUUUCCUUAGGAUUUUCGCAUCUAGAUAUUAUGUUUACGUGUUAUGUGCUACGUGCUCUUAUGUGUUUAUUUGUUUUAAUUUAUACUUUAGUUGUUUCACUAUGAAUUGUUAAUGCAUGACGUCACCACACUAGUCCAACGCUAGUUGUGGCUUCUCCCUCUAUUUACUUGCUAGUCCAACGCUAGUAAGGAAUUUUAGAAAUGGGCUAGUCCAACGCUAGACCCUUUAGGUUGUCUUGCGCUAGAUUCAUCUUUGUGUGCUAUUCACUACAUUUUCAUGCAUAUUUUCAUUUUUAAGAUCUUUUCUCAUUUGCAUGAUAUUCCCUAUUAUAUUAUCCCUUAUCCUCUAUAUGUGUUAAUCAUAUCAUUUAAAAUUGCAUUUCAUUUAGGACAUUGUAUAAUAAGUUAGCUCAUUUGCUUGUGCAUAUUAGGAGAAUUAUUUUUCAAACAUGGGAAAUGGGUGAUUAUAACCUUUUAGUUUAAAUACCCCAUUAAUCCCUGUAUAAGAAAAUUAUGUCACGAGUUUUUGCCUCCCAUACCCUUUAUGUUGCAUUCCCUUUUUCUUCGAUCACUUAUAUCUAUGUAUAUAAUUUAAUUUACUUUCUUUACUUUUCUUUUUUUUCAUCAUUUGCAUACUCGUGAUCCUUUCAAGGAAAUAUUUUGGCUUUCGCAAUUAAUGCGAUUGUUUCAAUUAAACCCUUGAAUGGAUAUUUUGACCCUUUCGAUAUUUUAUAAAUUUAAAUUUGCAUCCAUGUAGGGAACAUCCAAAUAAGAUAAAAUUAAGGGUUAGAUUAGGAAAUUUUUGACCAAACCUCGCAACUAGCUUAGAUUAGGUUGAAAGGGUGCCUUAGGUUUGAUUUAAUCGAACCUUUGCCUUCCCUUUCUUCAAUCGUGACUCCCGAACCCAUUUUCUCUUGUUUUUUCGAAGACCUGGAGUUGUCAAAAGGGUUUUUAUUUUAUUUUAUUCUUAUCAAAAAGUAUUUUUGGGGUGACUUGGUACACCCAAAUUCAAUACCAAGUGGCGACUCCUCUUUUUUCUGAAAAACCCUUUUAGACUAAAUUUUGGACCCAAAUUGUCGCAUUUUUUAAAAGUCCCAUUUUAGGUCUUUUUUCAUUUAUUAUUAAUAAAUCACAUCUUUUUAUAAACACUUUCUUUUCCAUCGCGAAAAAAUGGGGCGCGACAACCAUAAGAUUAACUCUUACAAUAAGAUUUACUAUUCCAUUUUUUGACUUUUGACCCAAUUGGUUAAAUAUCUUAAAAUUAACCAAAAAUCACCAUUUUUCUCUUACCUUUGGCCGGCCCUCUCUCUUGCAAGAAGGAAGAAAACCUCUCUCAAUUCCUUGCUCUAAUCUUGCCCAAAUCAACAACUUAACCGUUUAAUCUUGAAUUCCUUCCAUAAAACCUCUUAGUUUAGUGCUUGUAAGGAGUUGUGUGGAGUUGUUUGGAAGCUUAAGGUGCUAAGUGGUCUCUCUUCUUUGGUUCUAAGGUAAGUGACUAUGGAACCCCUCUCUUCUAUCUAAAGAUGCUUAAUAAAUGACUUGUGGUUGUUAUGAGUGUGAUUUUGUGGACUAUUUCUUGAUUUUAGUUAAGAUUGAUGAAGUUUUCUAUUUAUUUGGAAUUUUUGCUGGUUGCAUAUGAUCACUAUGAUGUGGCUAUGUAUGAUGAUUGGAAAUGAGGGGUAACGACUCUAGUAAGUGCAAAUGAGUGAUAAUUGCAAGUAAUUUUGGAUUUGGAGGAAAUUUCAGCAACUUAGGGUUUCACCACCCCCUUUUCUGUCCGGUUUUGUAUCUCCUACUUAGAGGCCGAAUUGGCCUUUGCUUAAAACAUGAAAGUUGUAGGUAUUGAUGUGUUUGAGGUGCCUGUAAAAUUUCAGGUCAUUUGGAGUAGUGUAGAGUGAGAUAUGUCGAUUUUACUGUUGGUGUUCUGGGUUGAUCAGAAUGUGAAAACUGCACUUGUAAUUGGUUGUUUUGGCUGGUAUUGCUUCAGAAUUAGUUGUUAUGGUCUUCUAAUGAAAUGUAGCUUGAUGUAUUAGCUACCAUAUGCCUUUGGAAUUUCUGGAUUUGGACUUGUGUAGGCUGAGUUAUGAUGUUUACACUAGAAUACGUUUUGUGAAUCUGUUUUUGCGAUUCUGGUAUAGUAUAUUGCACUUUCGACCUGGUUGCACUCGAAACUAGAUUGAGUAGCCUUCUUCAACAUUGUAGCCCUUGAGUCCUGUGUAUGCCUGUAAAAUCUCAGGUUAAACGGAUUAGUGUAUCAUGAGUUAUAGAUGAAAUGCUCAAGCCUGUUUUGAACAUCAGAUUUGGUACGUCUUUUAGUUUAGCUUCUGCCCGUGAUCUUUCGGUUUUGAUACAGUAUGAUUUGGGUGUCAACUCCUUCAUAAGAAAUUUAGAUCUUGGUCUCAGCUUCGAAACGGUAUAAAGUACGUUGAAAUCUGAGUUCCGUAGCUCCGGUUUUGAUCAAAACAAUAUCGAUCGUCAGAACUGCCCGGUAUUUGGACAGUUCUGACGGGUAUUUUGGCACUCGAUUUUCGUUCUGUUCUGAAUGGAUUCAGGUCUUGGCCAAAACAAGAAAGUUUUAGCCUUAUGUCCCAGCUUUCUAACGCCUUUGGAAUUUCUUGAUUUCGAUUUCUGAGCCAUGAGUUACGGCCUUGUAAACAGGGACUGUUUGGUAACUCGCAAUGAAACAGCUGGCACAAUUUCGUGCAUUUUUGACCUAUAUCUAUUGAGAUCUGGGUUGAGAUGUCUAAAGGGAAGUUGUAGCCCUUCCUCUUAGCUUCGCAACGGUACCUCAUGUACCUUGAUCCGACACUCCUAGCCUAACUUUUGACCAAAACGGUUUGAGAUGGCAGAUUUGGCCGUCCCGUUUGCCGUUCCGCGCGUGCGUGUGCCAUUUUUGUCGUUUCCGCACUUGCGCGUGCCAAUUUUGCCGUUUUGCUUGUUUUAAGUACGUUAGUUGCCGUUUGUGAUAUAUUGUGACAUAAUCUUCGAUUUCAGACAGUGGUGAGCUAGGCGGAGCCGGUGGGGCCCACUACUAGCCAACACACAAAGUGAAUUCCGCCUUUGUACUACUUUUGGUAUUUUGAGUAAGUAUUCAGGCCGCUCUUACGUGUUAGUUGCUUAUGUGUUUCGAUAUGUAUGAAAAGGGUACCUAGGCGAGGGUGUACUUUAUCGCACUCGACCUAAACCCUAAUUUGAAUGUAUAAUUGUACUUGGCAUAUGUAUAUGAACCUUUUGGAACCAAAACCCUUGAGCUUGUGGCUCGGGGCGACUUUCGAAUAAAGUUUGGGAAGUUUGCAAAGUUUGUGAUUUUGAAUAAUUUUGUGAAGUUUGUGAGUUUGGGGCGAACUCUUGACCUGGUUGGACUAUUCGAGCCGGUUAGGGCUUGGUCGAAGUCAGUCCAACUUAGUCUGAGGUCACCAAGUUUGUAGGUUCAUGUUGCGAACCAAUUUUGUGAAUCCGGUUCACCGAGAAGGUGACCAAGUUUGUGACCCGAGCUUGUGACUCAAGCUCAAGUUUGUGAUUUCGUUCGCCCGGGCAAGUUUGUGAGGUGACUGGCCAGUGAGGGUGAUAAGGUGUCGGUGGGUGUACAAGUGAAGUUCUACGGACUAUUAUUUGCAGUCGACGGAGUGUCGGCAGGAGAUCACGCAUGGCACAUGAGUUGGCUUUGGAGCCACCUGUAUCCUUAUUAUGAUGUUGUUCUUUUCUGCUUUUGCUUUACUCUAAAUGUGUAAUUGUUGCUACGUGAAUUUAUGCUUUCGCCCCUGUUUACUUACUAAGCAUAUAGCUUACCCCAUUCCUUUUGUUUUCCUUAGCAGGGGCCGACGCGGGGACUUUUGGCUCGUAUACUAGUUUAGUUAGUUUGGCUUGUAAUAGUUGAAUAGUUAGAAUGUUUGUUUUUGUUUCGGUGGUUUAUAUAAGGACCCUCCUUAGGGUCUAUCUUCUGCUGGUUGUGAUUGUAGUAUAUUAGAGUGGUUUGACUCGAGACUUUUGAAGAUGUGAAUAUAACUUUUGGGAUUGUAUAUAUUGUAUUUAGUGCUCUUUUGAACUUUAAGUUUUGAGUCCUGGCGCGAGCUAGGCAGGCGGCCCGCCGAUACCCUUGGGUUCGCCCUUGGGAGAAGUGGGGUCGUCACAGUUGGUAUCAGAGCUUAGGCUUCAGAUUUCUGUAGUGUAUCCUAGGCUUGAAGUUUAGGAUGCCGGACUGUGGGAUACUUGGCUAUUAAGGUAAAUAUUGAAUGCUAAGAUUUUGAUAUUGACUUUUGUAAUUUUUCCAUAAGGCAAAGUGGGGAUUGAGUUGAUUGCACUUGGAGAUGGCCAGUCCCAGUGUGAAUCGAUUUGGUUCUUACUUAAUAUUGAAGUUAGCUAUUUGGACCUAUUCUUUAGGUUUGCACCCUAGGGCCGCCGGGGCGGUGCUGGUGGAUUAGGUAGGUUCCGUAGGGGAGGCGUGUAGGACCGUUGAUGGAAUUUCGUUUUGACUAUCUGAUAUGUUUAAUUUGUUAUAUCUGCCAUGUUUAUUUUGUUAUAACCAGUAUGCCUGGCUUCUUUUGUUACCCAGUGAUUGACUACAUUUUUGGAGCCGUAGUGCUCACGUAAAUAAUGGAUUUUGCACCGACCGGAUGUCGGAUAACUUGUAUAUUUUUAGUGUGACUUUGUAAAAAUAUGUAUAUUUGAGUAUAAUCUUUUGAGCUUAUUUGUUUGAACCCGGCUUUUGAACUUAUUCGUACUUGUGUAGUUGUAGACCGGCUACUACUCGAGUGGUUGAACUUUUGAGGCAUUGCCUGUUGUGUACUUGACUGCUUUUGAGGAUUAUUUGAUCUGAUUAGUGCAAGUUGGAAUUUCGAGGACGAAAUUCUUUUAAGGGGGGGAGAUUGUGAGGCCCCAGUUCGUACUACGUUGAUAUAUUCAUUAAUUUGGCGGUAACGUUUGGUUUUGGGAGUAUUUCGAAAACCCUAAGUAGGGAGUAAGAUUUAAACCCUAGUUUUGUAUUCGAACAAGUUUGAGUGGUGAUUAAAGUUAGUUAUGUUAAUGUGUGUUUUAGUGUGGGUAAGUAUAGGAUUUAAUCCAUUUUGUAUAGAUUAAUUAAGUUUAAGAAGGUUAGAAACCCGAAGUGAACAAAAACCCUAAUUUCCGGUUAAGAUUGGAAACUCGUCUUUUCUACAUUUUUCUGUAUUAGAAAAAUUCCCCAGAUAAUUUUUAUUGAGUAAAUGGAGUUUUUAGAUGAUUUUUCUAGUAUUAGUUGGUUUUUGAGAAAUUAACAACGUAUAUCGAACGUGGGACCCACGAGUGCGAAAAGUUCGGAAAAUUUCGGCCGAUUAGGUUAAGUUUCGAAUACUGGGUUUAAUUUACCGGGUGUUAAGAGAUAAGUAGAGAUUGCAAUUUGGAUUGAUAUGAGAGAGAAAAGUUAGGUAGAUAUUUCAAAAAAUGUGACAAGUGUCACCAUAAGAUUAACUCUUACAAUAAGAUUUACUAUUCCAUUUUUUGACUUUUGACCCAAUUGGUUAAAUAUCUUAAAAUUAACCAAAAAUCACCAUUUUUCUCUUACCUUUGGCCGGCCCUCUCUCUUGCAAGAAGGAAGAAAACCUCUCUCAAUUCCUUGCUCUAAUCUUGCCCAAAUCAACAACUUAACCGUUUAAUCUUGAAUUCCUUCCAUAAAACCUCUUAGUUUAGUGCUUGUAAGGAGUUGUGUGGAGUUGUUUGGAAGCUUAAGGUGCUAAGUGGUCUCUCUUCUUUGGUUCUAAGGUAAGUGACUAUGGAACCCCUCUCUUCUAUCUAAAGAUGCUUAAUAAAUGACUUGUGGUUGUUAUGAGUGUGAUUUUGUGGACUAUUUCUUGAUUUUAGUUAAGAUUGAUGAAGUUUUCUAUUUAUUUGGAAUUUUUGCUGGUUGCAUAUGAUCACUAUGAUGUGGCUAUGUAUGAUGAUUGGAAAUGAGGGGUAACGACUCUAGUAAGUGCAAAUGAGUGAUAAUUGCAAGUAAUUUUGGAUUUGGAGGAAAUUUCAGCAACUUAGGGUUUCACCACCCCCUUUUCUGUCCGGUUUUGUAUCUCCUACUUAGAGGCCGAAUUGGCCUUUGCUUAAAACAUGAAAGUUGUAGGUAUUGAUGUGUUUGAGGUGCCUGUAAAAUUUCAGGUCAUUUGGAGUAGUGUAGAGUGAGAUAUGUCGAUUUUACUGUUGGUGUUCUGGGUUGAUCAGAAUGUGAAAACUGCACUUGUAAUUGGUUGUUUUGGCUGGUAUUGCUUCAGAAUUAGUUGUUAUGGUCUUCUAAUGAAAUGUAGCUUGAUGUAUUAGCUACCAUAUGCCUUUGGAAUUUCUGGAUUUGGACUUGUGUAGGCUGAGUUAUGAUGUUUGCACUAGAAUACGUUUUGUGAAUCUGUUUUUGCGAUUCUGGUAUAGUAUAUUGCACUUUCGACCUGGUUGCACUCGAAACUAGAUUGAGUAGCCUUCUUCAACAUUGUAGCCCCUUGAGUCCUGUGUAUGCCUGUAAAAUCUCAGGUUAAACGGAUUAGUGUAUCAUGAGUUAUAGAUGAAAUGCUCAAGCCUGUUUUGAACAUCAGAUUUGGUACGUCUUUUAGUUUAGCUUCUGCCCGUGAUCUUUCGGUUUUGAUACAGUAUGAUUUGGGUGUCAACUCCUUCAUAAGAAAUUUAGAUCUUGGUCUCAGCUUCGAAACGGUAUAAAGUACGUUGAAAUCUGAGUUCCGUAGCUCCGGUUUUGAUCAAAACAAUAUCGAUCGUCAGAACUGCCCGGUAUUUGGACAGUUCUGACGGGUAUUUUGGCACUCGAUUUUCGUUCUGUUCUGAAUGGAUUCAGGUCUUGGCCAAAACAAGAAAGUUUUAGCCUUAUGUCCCAGCUUUCUAACGCCUUUGGAAUUUCUUGAUUUCGAUUUCUGAGCCAUGAGUUACGGCCUUGUAAACAGGGACUGUUUGGUAACUCGCAAUGAAACAGCUGGCACAAUUUCGUGCAUUUUUGACCUAUAUCUAUUGAGAUCUGGGUUGAGAUGUCUAAAGGGAAGUUGUAGCCCUUCCUCUUAGCUUCGCAACGGUACCUCAUGUACCUUGAUCCGACACUCCUAGCCUAACUUUUGACCAAAACGGUUUGAGAUGGCAGAUUUGGCCGUCCCGUUUGCCGUUCCGCGCGUGCGUGUGCCAUUUUUGUCGUUUCCGCACUUGCGCGUGCCAAUUUUGCCGUUUUGCUUGUUUUAAGUACGUUAGUUGCCGUUUGUGAUAUAUUGUGACAUAAUCUUCGAUUUCAGACAGUGGUGAGCUAGGCGGAGCCGGUGGGGCCCACUACUAGCCAACACACAAAGUGAAUUCCGCCUUUGUACUACUUUUGGUAUUUUGAGUAAGUAUUCAGGCCGCUCUUACGUGUUAGUUGCUUAUGUGUUUCGAUAUGUAUGAAAAGGGUACCUAGGCGAGGGUGUACUUUAUCGCACUCGACCUAAACCCUAAUUUGAAUGUAUAAUUGUACUUGGCAUAUGUAUAUGAACCUUUUGGAACCAAAACCCUUGAGCUUGUGGCUCGGGGCGACUUUCGAAUAAAGUUUGGGAAGUUUGCAAAGUUUGUGAUUUUGAAUAAUUUUGGUGAAGUUUGUGAGUUUGGGGCGAACUCUUGACCUGGUUGGACUAUUCGAGCCGGUUAGGGCUUGGUCGAAGUCAGUCCAACUUAGUCUGAGGUCACCAAGUUUGUAGGUUCAUGUUAUGAACCAAUUUUGUGAAUCCGGUUCACGAGAAGGUGACCAAGUUUUGUGACCCGAGCUUGUGACUCAAGCUCAAUUUGUGUGAUUUCGUUCGCCCGGGCAAGUUUUUGAGGUGACUGGCCAGUGAGGGAUAAGUCGGUGGGUACAGUGAGUUUUCUACGGACUAUUUUUGCAGUGUGUCGGCAGGAGAUCACGCAUGGCACAUGAGUUGCUUUGGAGCCACCUGUAUCCUUAUUAUGAUGUUGUUCUUUCUGCUUUUGCUUUACUCUAAAUGUGUAAUUGUUGCUACGUGAAUUUAUGCUUUCGCCCCUGUUUACUUACUAAGCAUAUAGCUUACCCCAUUCCUUUUGUUUCCUUAGCAGGGGCCGACGCGGGGACUUUUGGCUCGUAUACUAGUUUAGUUAGUUUGGCUUGUAAUAGUUGAAUAGUUAGAAUGUUUGUUUUUGUUUCGGUGGUUUAUAUAAGGACCCUCCUUAGGGUCUAUCUUCUGCUGGUUGUGAUUGUAGUAUAUUAGAGUGGUUUGACUCGAGACUUUUGAAGAUGUGAAUAUAACUUUUGGGAUUGUAUAUAUUGUAUUUAGUGCUCUUUUGAACUUUAAGUUUUGAGUCCUGGCGCGAGUUAGGCAGGCGGCCCGCCGAUACCCUUGGGUUCGCCCUUGGGAGAAGUGGGGUCGUCACAGUAAAGCUUGAGGGAGUGAACACAUGGGUGGAAUUCAAGUAUGAGAGAUGCUCAGAUUUUUGCUACAAUUGUGCGAUCAUUGGGUAUGGGGACAAGUCAUGUACAGGGGACAAAAGGGAAGGACUGUCUUGUAGGGAAGGCCAGUAUGGUGCUUGGAUGAGGGCAGGAAAUAUAAUGGCCUCCCCCUUGAAAGCAUGCUUCACGUCUAACACAGAGGCGAGUCAGAAACCUAAAGAGUUGACAAUGGUAGACAAAGGAUCCAAUAGCAGGAUAGGGGGGAUACUUGAGGGAGGAUCUGGAGUCAUGGGUGGUAUAAAUAGCAGGGGGGUAACAAGGAGACUAAGGGAAAUGAUCAGGAAAAACUGGCAAUGGAGGAAAAAUAGGGAGAGAUUCUGAGGGAAAGUGCAAGACUAAAAGGACGAGUAGAGAAAGAGGGUAAGGGUGAGGGAAAACGAAAAGAGGGGAGUGGAACUACAGUACAGGGAAAUAUUGAAGCCCAUAAGGUGGUAGUGGACCUGGGAGUAGGCUUGAUUACAAAAGAAAAUCAGAUCCCAGAGAAUAUGGUGUUAGAUGACUGUGUUGUUAGAGAGGGGAUAGACAAGUCAGGAAAGGGGAGUUUGACUAGCAAAGACAGUAACACAAUAGAUGCCAUGAGCCGAACCCAAGUAAGUGAAAGCAAACCAGGAAGGAAAAAUCAGUGGAGGAGGAGUUUGGGCACCAAAAGGGUACCAUUGAAAGAUAUCACGGACAGGGGGACAGAGAGCAACAUUGGAGAGAAAAGAAAAACAUAGGAAGAAUGCCAUGACUUGGAUCUAAUGGAAGAGGACACAGUACAAGGUCCACACCACAAGUGCUUAAAAAGGGAUCAAGAUGAUGCACACAUGGAGGGGAAUUGGAGGCUAGCCCCGCAAUGCCUCCACCAACACAAUGAAGAUGGUGGUGUGGAAUUGUCGAGGUGCAGGAGGCCCCUUGACAAUUCCCCAACUUAAGGAGGUACUCCACCUUCACUCUCCUAGUAUAGUAUUUUUGUGUGAAACAAAAAACAAAGAAUGGUACAUGAAGCAGGUACAAAAAAGGAUUAAAUUUGAACAUAGCCUUGUCGUGAAUCCCAAGGGUAGAGCAGGGGGAUUAGCUUUGUUUUGGAAGGAAGGGUUGCAACUGCUUGAUGUACACAGCAUUGAGUGGUACAUUGCAGCAAUGGUGGUAGAUAAGGAGUUAAAUGAUCACUGGUGACUGGUAGGAAUAUAUGCAAGUAAUGAGGAAAGAGCAAGAGUGCAACAAUGGGAGACUAUAAAGGAAAAGAAAAGGGAAUGGGGGGGAAAAGGGGAUAAUAGUGGGAGACUUCAAUGAUAUCUGCUCAAAUGGGGAGAAAUGGGGAGGGAAAGAGAGAUCAGAUGGUAGUUUUAGGGAGUUCAAUAGUUUUAUUUCUAGGAAUGAAUUGGUGGACCUUAGACAUGGAGCAACACAUGGGAAGGGGAGGGAGAGAUAAAAGAGAGGCUAGAUCGAUGUUUAGGGAGUGUUGGAUGGAUGCAAGCGUAUGAGAAUACUACAGUUGAACACAUUGAGAAAGAAGCAUCAGAUCACUGCCUGCUAAUGGUGGAUACUAAACCGAAGCAAAGGGGUAUAAAAAGAAGGUUCUGUUUUGAUCAGAGAUGGGCAAAGGAUGAGGAGUCUGUGGCUGUUAUCCAAAGAGCUUGGGGGCUGGAGCAACAUGGGUCUAGAAUGUUUAGAGUGGUGAGACGAAUCAAGGAAUGUAGAGUAGCUUUGAUUGAAUGGCACAAGGCAAAUAAAGGCAAUACAAAGGCAAAAAUUGAGGAGCUAAAGGAACAACUAAGGGUAGCACGUGAGGGGAGUGAGUUGGAUAAGAAAGGAGCUAUUGCAAACUUGGAGCUACAACUGAGUAAAGCAUACAAGGAUGAAGAGCUAUAUUGGAGCCAGAAAUCAAGAAGCAGAUGGCUCAAGGAGGGGGAUAAGAAUACAGCUUACUUUCACCUAAGUGUCAUGGCUAAUAGGAAACGGAACAAUAUCAGCAUACUCCAGAAGACAAAUAGGGGUGUGGUGUGCAAAUGAAGAGGAAAUUGAAGCUGAAAUUAGCAAACACUAUGCGGAGCUCUUCAAGUCUAAUGAUCCUACCGAAUUUGAAGAAGUGUUGCUAGGCAUACCUCGCACUAUUUCCAGUCUCAUGAACACACAGUUGAUUAAACCUGUGACUGAGUUGGAGAUUCAACAAGCCAUUUUUUCCAUGUUCCCUAAUAAAGCUCCUGGAGUUGAUGGUAUGCCCCCUUUAUUCUUCUAAACAUUCUGGCAUAUUAUCAAAAAUGAUGUUGUUAAUGCUGUGACUAGCUUUUUUCAUUCUAGCAAAAUCUUAACAGCCAUCAAUGAGACCAUUAUCUCCUUAAUCCCUAAAGUUGAAAAUCUUGUAGUGCUUACUAACUUCAGACCCAUUAGUCUUUGCACGGUGAUUUAUAAAAUUAUAUCUAAGAUCUUGGCCAAUAGACUGAAAAAAGUCCUCAAGCAUUGUAUUAGCCCAUCACAAUCUGCCUUUGUACCAGGGCGACAAAUUCUAGACAAUGUGAUCAUAGCUCAUGAAAUGUUGGAUUUUUUGAACAACAAGAGGAGAGGUAGAGUAGGCUUCAUGACCUUAAAGCUUGAUAUGUCUAAAGCCUAUGACAGAGUGGAGUGGAAAUUCCUAGGCAGAAUUAUGUUGCAAAUUGGAUUUUGCCCUAUUUUUGUUCGCUAGAUCAUGACGUGUAUUUCCACAGUCCACUACUCCUUUAAUUUAAAUGGACAAAAGGUGGGCAACGUCAAACCUUCUAGAGGAAUCCGACAAGGAGACCCCCUUUCUCCCUACCUGUUCAUUAUAUGUACAGAAGGGCUGUCUAAUUUAUUCAAGAAACCUGUGGAAAAAAAGCAACUAACUGGCAUCAAAGUCUGCAAGGACAGCCCUAUGGUUUCACAUCUAUUUUGUGCAGAUGACUCAUUAUUGUGUUGCAAAGCAAGCAAGGAGGAGGCACAAAAGGUCAAGGAGAUCAUUCAGAUAUAUGGUCAAGCCACGAGACAGGUAGUAAAUUUUGAUAAGUUAGCUAUGUUUUUCUCUAAAAAUACUCCCAACUUGAUUAGAAGGGAAAUUAGUGAGGUCUUGGACAACAUGAGAGAAGCCUCUAGUGGUAAAUACUUAGGCUUACCGAUGACUAUUGGGAGAGCUAAGAAUCAGAUUUUUGGGUACCUGAAAAGUGUAAUCACAAGUAAACUUCAAGGGUGGAAACAUAAGUUGCUUAGUCCAGGGGGUAAGGAGGUUUUAAUCAAAUCAGUCAUUAUGGCCAUGCCUACAUACAUUAUGUCUUGCUUCAAGCUCCCUAAAGGCUUGUGUAAGGCCAUUAGUGCAACCAUAGCUAGAUUCUGGUGGGGUGGUGGGGUUGCAGAAAAUAAAAUUCAUUGGGUUAGAUGGAGUAAGCUGUCGGAGGUUAAAGGGAAAGGGGGUUUGGGCUUUAGAGACUUGAAAGCUCUCAACGUGGCCUUGCUUGCAAAACAAAUUUGGAGAGUUGUCACCAAUCCAAAUUUAUUAGUAAGCAAGGUCCUGAAAGCUAAGUACAUGAAGCAUGAGGACUGGUUAGACCAAAAGCCCCCGCACACAGCUUCUUGGUGCUGGAAAAGCUUGCACAAGGGGGGAGAGCUCCUUCAACAAGGGUUAUACAAGCCUCCCCGUUUCGGAGUGGUGUUCCCCGUUUUGGAAUGGUGUUCAACUUCUUGCUUAUGAACCUUGGCAAUUUUAGCUCUGUAUCCAGCACAGAAACUUUAUCAAUGUUCUCUUGAUUUUACUGUCUCUCAUGCUUUUGUUAGUACUCGCAAAUUGCAUAUUCCAUUGUUUAUCAACUGUCAAAGCGAAGCAUAAUUGGGAUGAACUUGUAACAUUGAGAUGCAUUGUGCCUAAAAUAAAAUGUGAAUGCGUAAUUUGAUAGAUUUUGAUAACUUAACUUGUCCAAAACAUAAGUCUAGUGUUCAGAGUCAUAAACGAUGAAUACGUAGAGAGUGCAAAGGUAAAGUUCGAUCUUUACUGUUUAACCUCGGCUAUCGUUUGGUCUGAAGAUUUCUGCAAACGAAAGUAAGGACAGGAAACAUAUAAAGUUUAGGUCCAUCUUCAAUAUUUCGAUAAUUUUCAGAAUUGGUUAUGGAAAAAUAAUGAUUAAAAACUAGCAAUCUACUCAAGUUUAAAAAAAAAAAAAAAGAAACUCAGUAAAGUGAAUGAUAAUACCUCACAGUUCAAAGACAUGGGGGCUUGAAUCUUUAGACUUUACUAAACAAUCAUAUACUUCUAAAUCUUCAAUAAUAGAAGUUGAAGAGAGGGUGCAGGUAAAAGCUAAGCACAGAAUAGAACUGAGGAAGAAGUUGAAUACACUAUCAAACUGGAAAAAUCCAUUUCCAGUUAAACAGCAGCAAUUCAAUUGUCUCGCCAAAACAUUGCUUUAAGCAACAAGUUAAAAUUGGUACAAAAAAUGACAGCAUUCAACUAUUUCACUGACUUGUUUGACAACCAAAACCAGCUGGGGGGUUUCCAGGGUGAUGGGUGCUGGCAAACAUUAAUAAAAUGAACAAAUUGCUUUGACAAUCACAUCAAUGCCCAUGCGCUGCCAUUGGACACUCCAGUUACAAGCUAAACUACGUAUCAGGCGUCCAAUUUAAUUUUAUGUCAACGUAUUGUAGGAACGAAACCGUAACAUAGGCAAGACUUGCUCUAUCGCUUGACCCACUGGAAGCUCUUUCUUGCUUUUGCUUUUCCAGGCUUUUUCCUUUCAACAACCCUCGAAUCCCGUGUCAAAAAACCACCUAAAAUUGACAACUGACAAGGUCAAAAGCUCCAAAUUUGACAUAAAACCAAACGUGAAAUGCAAGAAGGCAAUGUUUCAGGUCGCAAUAGAACACACAUUUAACGUACAAUUAUACACACAAAAUAAUAGAUUACUUUUGAUUUAAUCAUCAUGUUUUCAAGAUCAGUACAUGCAUGCUUGUACUCCUUAAAAAAAUUCAGAUUUGGUGAAGAAAGACCAAAAAUCUAGUCUUUCCCUAUUGUAAGAUGGAAGAAGCAGCAAGGUGAAGAAAACAAUUAAGAAAGAUAACACUGCUCCAAGUAAAUGUACCUUCUCUCAAAGGAGGACGUAAAUCUGGUGCCCAGUUUUGCAGUGCCCGGCUGAUGCCCAAUUGAAUAGCACCAACCUGACCUGUUCCGAAGAGCGAACAAUAACAAUUAGCUGAUAACAGGAGAAAAUUGCUAAAGUUGAAUUGAAUCAUCAAAUAACUCGUCCUAGGCAGGUAGAAUGAUUCCACACACAGCUUGCAUGAUUAAGGAACCAUGUGGUUUUAAAUUUGCUCAAAAAAUUAAUCCCACAGUAAGGACUAAAACCUCAAACACCACCAACCAACCUCCCAAAAGAGACCCCAAAAAAAAAAGCAAUAAUAAUAAUCAAAGAAGAAAGACUGAAGCAGAGCUAAGUUACAUAAAGGAAACACUGGGGUUUCAUUGGUUAUCAAAGAGCCGCAGAAAUAGCCUAGGAUUCAAUGCAGCCAAAAAAGCACCAAAGAAUAGGGUCAAAAGAGGAACCAGGUCCAGAUGUAUUUCACUAUUUUGAAUCUCAACAAGUCUUCUUACUGAAACCUGACUGAAUUAACCCUAAAUUAACAAGAGAAUUCAUGCAAUACAAUGCUCAAAGAUUUCAUAAUCAAUAUAAUUCACAUUCUUUCAAUUUGCCUUUUUCGGCUAAAUUUUAUAUUUGUACAACAACUCCUGAGCCAGUAAUAACAUGACUAGGAAGAAAAGUACAUAAAAGUGGAGGCCAAAAGGAAAUAAUGCUCUGUUGUUUAUAUCAAUUUUAACAACAAUACCAUGCAGGUUAUAACUAUGAAAAGAAGCUCGUGGCCAGCAAAUAUGCAAGAUGCUGCAAAUUUGAAUUCAGUAAAACAGCAAUAAGAGAGUAUAAGCAGUUUUAUGUGCAGCAUGAAUCAUUCAGAUUAAUAUUAAGAAAACACCAAAACACACAUCAAAUGCAUCUUUCCUUGUAAACUAAGUCUAACAAGUGCCAAAAGAAAGCAAAAAUGGCAAAUCAAAUUCCUUUAAAGCAAACCACAAAGUGUCUUGCUUUCCAUAAAAGAUAUAUUUUAGCGAAAGAUUAAUAUAGCACAUAAUUUUCAGGCCUGCGAGGAGUAAGUCAAUGGCAUCCUUACCUGAUACACCACCCCCUUUUACAGUGCAACUCACGUCCCACAUACCCAAUGUCUUAGUUUCAGAGAAAGGUCGAAGAAGGGCAGCUCGAUGAUCAAGCAUUGGGAAAUAGAAAUCGAACUCUUUGUCAUUCACUACAAAUUUACCAUCACCAGGUUGAACCCAUACUCGAGCUAUACUGCAUUUCCUCCUUCCUGUCCCAUAUGCCCUUCCCUUAUCAUCUACUUGCCUGACUCGCGCCUUUGCAGCCUCCUCCUGCUUCUGGCGCUCGAUUUCAGCUCUUGCGGAUUUUCUUGUACUCUUUGCAUACCGCAUAUCUUCAAUUUCUCGCAGCGGAGGAAGUCCUUGAAUUCCUUCAAGGUCCUUCAAAGCAAUCAAACUAUCCAACAUAGCUUCUGUGAUUCCAGAAGCUGCAAUAAGAUCUCCAAAUGCACGAUUUGGACCUGCAACAAGAGGAUUCGUUAAGUGCAUCCAGAUGCUAGAAACAAAAAGAUAUGCAUCACUACGUCAUGCAGCUGAUUAUUAAGAUUUUUUGAACUGAUAAAACUAUAUGUGAAGCUUCUACAUCAAACACACUGAAAUGCUUUGAAUGAUGUGUGCAAAAAGUAGAAUUUGUAGGCACUACCUGCAGGUGACAAACUUUAGCCAAGGUCUUACUUCCAUAAACCGUCGAUUGAAAGCAAGUACUAAUUCCUACUAUAUUUGUCUGAGCAGGCCAUCUAGCUAGUAUAUUCACUAGUGAAAUUCAGGAACAAUGUUCUACUAGGGAAAUAAUGCUAUUAGUAAAAAGAUGGCCAAUUCCAAAAACUGCCAACUAAUAUGGGUAAAGCAAAACAUGGACACUAUGAGACAGUUAUGAAUAGGAAAAACAAAACUUAAAAGUCGUCAAAAAGAGCAUUAUUUAAAUGAGGAUGAUUAAAAUCUAUCGGAAAGCCAAAAAAAAUGCAUAAGUAAGAACAAAAAAAUCUAAGCAUGAGUCUAUAGAUAAAUUAAUCAUAAAUGGAUGACAUUUUUAGCCUCAUAAAGCUCAAUUGAACUUUUCAAUGUCAGUUGUAUUCAAAAGUCUGAGAAAACUUGAAUUUCUAUGCCAAAUCUGUUAGUUUCAGUUGCUCCAAACAUAUAAAAGUGUAUUAAUCUUCAAAUCUAUUACUUGCAGUACUUUUCCAAGAAAAAUAUCUUAUUCUUUCCAACUAUUGCUCUCCUUAAUUUUUUUUUUUUUUUUUAAAUGUUCUACCCCACUUUGGACUUUGGUUUUGGAAGUUUCUUUGACUUAAAAGAGUAGUAUUCUAUGCAUCAAGUAAUUAAUAAUCAGGAUGUUAGGCUGCAAUACAGAUCAAAGAUGCAAGUUUGCAAAUCAAGUCUCAGCUAUUUAGUUACAAAUUAUGGUCAAAUCUUUAUAUACUUUUCGCUUUUUAUUCUGACAAAAGAAACAUUAAAAUGUCUUUUAUCACUAAUUCUAAUCAGCAACCAUGCCAACUGUGUACCAAUAAUUGCUGCCAUUAGCGUUACUCUUUUCUGCGAAAAAGAAGCAGAAAAAGACUUUCUCAAGCUUUUCCACAUCCAUGUCAAGAUCAUGUCUGUAUAGUAAUAAUGUGGCAGUAAUCAAUUUCUCGAGCAUUUUUACAUCCUGUCAAGAUCAUAUCUGAUAGUCUAAGCUGCCGUUAACAUUUAUAACCUCAGGAAACUCAUCGAGUCUAGAAAAUUGCGAAAUACUCCCAUUCAGAGCCAUGGGGUGAUAAAGAUGUUGCAGUUAAAACUGCAUCCCCAGUAUACUUCGGCCCUCAAGACAGGAAGGAAGCUGUAAAAUUAAAAGCUUUCUCAGGACAGCAAGAAGGAGCUGAUUUCAGCCAAUACACAGGCUACAUGGUGGUGAAUUUGAAUGUUCUGGAGCUUUUGUUAUUAGUUUGAUGAGUUGCAUCAGAAUUUUUCCACCAAACCUCUAGCGCAGUGGCUGAAUGGAGUUACUAGGAUUUCAAACUACUAUUAGCUUCCAUUUGCUUCAUCCUUCGGGCAUUAUGUAACUCAUGCCUAUCAAUUCUUUGCUUUCAUAUUUUCCUUUAUUCUAUUAGAACCAUUUCUUAAUAGCAUUCAUUGGAAUAUAAUUAGCCAUAGUAAAUCCUAAACUGACCUCAAAUGCAAUUCAAAUAGCAUGUAGGCAAGUUAUAGACUCCAAACCUCAUUAGCCUGAAAUUACCAAAAAUAUAUAUAUAUAUAUCUAUUAUGUGGCCAAGAACCUCGAUAACCCACAAUCAGCUCAAAACGGGAACAAGCUAGAUAGCUUUCAACAAGAACAGUCCACUUAAGCAUCCAUACUUAAAAUACAGAAUCCU
rnacentral:lncRNA from 1 species